rnacentral:lncRNA from 1 species
AGAUGGGGCUUCUUGGUUUUUGUUCGAGGGAGGGCGAAGGGGUAGGCAAAACCGAUGUUGCCAUCUCUGAAUCGAUGUAGGGCAUGAGCAAGCGUUAUGGAUACCACGCGGUAUUCAAUCAGGUGUCUUUCCAAUACCCAAUUCUAGCGACAUCCAAACAGCAAUAUUGGCGGCCAACAGUUCCAAAUCAUCGAUUCCAGGCUCCAAUUUAGACGUCCAAACAGGGUGUAAAGUCUAGAUGUAUCAUUGUUCUAGGAUAGGGGAAAUACGUGAUAUUUUUGAAGAAAAUAAGCUAGUUUCACCGAAGGUAGUAAUACGGAUAUAUAUAAUAAAUAAACAGAAAUCAACAUGAACAGUUGUACUCCCUAGCUUGCUUCAAAAUAAAGCUAGCUUAUACAAUAUUGUGUCGAAGCCUUGUUUGAGGCAAAUUAAACAUCAUUUUCUGUCUGGAAUUAGAUACACUAUGAACAUUAGCUAUAUCAUAUUCUAUUUCUACCACGCCUCCUCAGUCGUGCACGAGGAGAAUCAAUUCCAUCAAGGAAUCGAUAUAUACCGCUAUACGCGAAACCCCAAAGUCCUAACAAGCCAACUCCAAAUUCUAUGAACUUAGGAAGCAAGUCUGGUCUUCCAGGUCUAAUGUACUCGCGUUGAAAAUAGCACACUGCGGUGCUACCAAAAAGAAAUAGAAACUCCCAAGUAACUUUAUGGAGCGAAUUUGCAUCUGGAUCCCCAAUUCGAGGCAUCCUAAACCUUGUCCUUGAUGACCUGCACACAUCAUUAAGCAAAGCCUGUGAUGAGAUAUAUAACCUCACCAAAAAAAGUUAAGAUAUAAUUCCAUGUAUGGCCACUAGAAAAGAUUAAAAUCUCCACUAGAAAAACUCAUGUUCCUUCCAUGCCACUACAUGCAAUUGUCCUUCGCCUGCUUGCCACUACUGUCACUAAGACGUAGUGGCUGAGUCCAUGUCCAAGCAAAAUAUAAAUACUCCAAUCUCUGCUCCAAUUUAGGUGAGUCUGGUUGCUUUCUGCCAAGGCAUCAGGGGCACAAUACGGCUGGGGCUAUGGCCGUGGGAUACCUGAGGACUUGGGUUGGGCGGUACGGUACGUACCUCUAGCUCUGGUGGCAAAACCAUGCACCGGCCUAGGAGUUCAACCAUUCAGGCUAGAUGGCCCUUGCAUCGCCAUGUCCAUGCCUGAUGUCGUCUCAAACUGUCGCUAUAUGUGUCUAGCGUGUGAACCAAAGUUUAUAAACAUCACCUUCAAAGUGGGUUAUGGCUAUUCGAUAUUUCUCACACUAAAGAAGCAUCCAUGCGGCCAUGCAUGAUGUUUUGGGGCUACGAACAGUCAACACAGAUUCAGGGGCGUAUAAAGUAUGGAUACACCAGAAUUCGAACUCCGCAAUCGCACGUAUACCUACCAAGAAGUGGUGUGCGGAACAAUUUACUCCAAAAUCAAAAGCACUACUAAUUCCGUGGCAAGAUCGUCAUCACACAAACAGGAACAAAAUACACAAGAUUGGGAGUUACGCAAAAUUACCGAAUAGAGGGGCGUACGUCCAGAGACUGGAUAGGAGAACAACCACUUGAAACGCUGGCGGCCUGCGUGCGGUCCGGCCGGCGGCAGCUCGAGUCGCCGACGCUUUCUUCUUUCUCCCAAACCCCUGUGCCCUAGCUAGGAUACGAUUGGCAGACGCCGUAUAUAGGCAGACCGCAGACGUCCACUCGGACUCGGUGACUCGCAAGUCUCGGACGCGCUUCGCGACAGCCGUGCAAGAUGGACCGAAUUUGGGCCUGCAUCUUGUAGGCCUCGUCAAAAAGGCCCCUGGGUAAGGAACUUUUGUAGCCAGCCCAACAGCAGCAGCAGGCUAGCCCAGCCCAUAAUGAACAGCCCAAUAGUUCUAGUGAUGUGUGAAACCCAUCUCGGGUGUGGAGGGCGUACAGGGCAAACAGGUGUUGAAGCUAGGGCCUUGUUUAGUUCACAAAAUUUUUCGUUUUUGGCACUGUAGCACUUUUGUUUUUAUUUGACAAACAUUGUUCAAUCAUAGAGUAACUAGACUCAAAAGAUUUAUCUCACAAAUUACAGAUGAACUGUGCAAUUAGUUUUAUUUUCGUCUAUAUUUAAUGUUUCAUGCAUGCGAUCAAAGAUUCGAUGUGACAGGGAAUCUUGAAAAUUUUUGCGAACUAAACAAGACCUAGUUUAAUUCGGGCUUUUUAGUUAUUUGCAUAGUUGAGAGAGAGAAAUGAGGGAGAAGCUGCAAUAAGCUACUUUUUUCCAGUUUCAUCCAACUUAUAUCUUUGUAAGAGGAGGGGAAGCUGUUUUUGGAAAUAAGUGUUUGAAAAAAAAAAAAACCUCACAACACGACGAAGCCAACGGAGGAAUCGACGACGAAGGCGAAGGCGGCGAACGCGGCAGCGCCCUCGACUGUGAUAGUACUACCCGAGGAAGAAGCGCGGGCGGAAGGCCGAUCAAGCGUGCUGACGAAUGGUGGCGCUGGCGGUAGCCGCAACGCACUCGUCCUCGCCUGCCAGCGUUGUGGCAUCUGCCGCGCCGCGGGUGGUUCUUCAACUACGUCCACCUCCCCGACCCCGGCCACCGAGGCGCCUGCGUCCAGGACGAACGCGGCGACAACGACGACCCAGCGGUGGGGCUGGCCUUGCUCCUUCACGCUUCCGCCUCGUUCGCGAGUAACCGCAAGCCGCUGCUCCGCCUCGCCGCCGUCUCGGCACCGCCGCUCCGCCUCGCCGCCGUCUCGGCGCCGCCACUCCGCCUCGCCGCGGUCUCGGCACCGCCGCUCCGCCUCGCCGCCGUCUCGGAGCCGCCGCCCCACGACGUGUCGCUCUUCGGCGCCACCUCCGCCUCGGCCGCCACCCCCGCAUCUAUCUCCGCAACUUCUCCCUCCUCAGCGUCGACCACGACGUGAGUUCUCCGCCUCUUCUAUUCCCUAGGGUUUCUACGAACGCGGAUUUGGUAGUUGGCUUUACUCUGUGCUUGUUGAUUUUGAAAAACUUACUUCAGUUUAACAUUGUCCAUAUGUGUUCUGAAUAUGCCAGGAAUGCUUGGCAUAAGUUGGGUGCUAUGCCUAGAGAAGAAGCUAUGCAAGAGUACAUCACAAUUGUUCAGGAGCUGUUCCCUAACUGGGAUGCAGGUGCAAGUGCGGUAAGUUCGAUAUCUCCUUAUUCACCUCACUCUUGCAGCAGUGUGUACAAUGAUCCUCGUGACAGUGUUGGCUUAUCCAUCACAUAAUAAUGUCAGAAAGGGAAAGAUGAAGAUAGCAUUGCUUCUGCAAGGGGCCCACGGGACCUCAGUUUGAUGUACGAGGAAGAGGAAGGAAAUGAUUCGUAAGUGGUGUUUACCUCAUGGGUGUCUUCUUCAGAAGUGUUUACGCUAUAAAUGUUACCUACCUUAGCCUACUGUUUUUAAUUGGAACAAACUUAAAUGUAUAUGCAGAGAACUUGGUGACAUCCAUGUUUCAGCGAGGGAAAGAGCAAAUGAUGACAUAGUGAAGCCUCUGUCAGAUGGUGUGGAAGUCAACGCGAGAGGUUUGUGUUUGCAAACUAUAAACCAUGUAAUGCUUAUGUUAUGCUUAUAAGCAUAAUUCAUUCAAACAUGGUUUGUAUAUGGUACUAUCUUCAGAUACUGAAGGUAGAUCUCCGUUGCACUGGGCUGUUGAUUGUGGCCAUCUUAGUGCUGUUGAGGCUCUUGCAAAAGCAAAUGCAGAUCUGAAUGCUAAGGUAAACUGGAAUUACUGUAUUCCUUUGUGUUCUACUAUUCAUGGCAGAUUUAUUUGAUGAGUAACGUGGAGCAAUAGGUGUCAGUCUAAUCAUAUAGCUGAAAAUGAAGUGCAUUCAGUUGUUUGCAUAUUAAACUACAUUAAAUAGAAAACAUGUUGUCUAUGCUCAUUAUGACACUUGAUUGAUUGAUGCUGUCAGUAUUUCAGCAUACCAUGGCACCAUAGAGCUUCAAAGUUCAGCCACAAUCUCCUGGGCCAUUAGAUUUUUUAGCCUAAUGAACUGAACUUAACUGCCUCUACCAUGUUCAGGACAAUGAAGGGCAAACAACACUCCCCUGUGCUGCCGUUUGUGAAAGAGAAGACAUUGCAUCAUGCUGAUCUUCAGAUCAAGGAUGAGGAUGUGGGAACAUAGCACAGGACUUGUGCCCUUCGAACUGGUAUUUUAUGAACCCGGCAAACUGACAACACGAAUAGACGGAUAUGCCAAGUGUCAUCUGCCAAGAAACAUGAUACCUUACCUGUAUCGUAAAGCCCAUACCGCACUUGGUCAUGUGCUUUUUCUUUAUGCAUGGGGACAUAUGGUAUAUCUAGUGUCUUUGUAUGAAGUGUGGGAAAUUAGACAAGUUGUUUGUCUCGACAUCUGCCGUACGUCGUUGUAGUAUUAGAGCUGGGAGAUACAUGUAUUGCUUUAGUCAGAAGAAGAAGAAUUGUGCUGAACAUCAAUGGUGUGUUACUGUUAGUGAAAGUAACUCCAAUCGUACAUGGUUCAUCAGUUUUUUUGGGCAAUUCGUGAACCUACUGUACCCUGUUAGUUGUUACCUUUGUAUUGGCCAUCUAUUGUGUAUUCGUGUGGAACUUAAUAUUAGAUGGGGUUGGAGAUGACAGUUCCAAAACCUAAAGUUUCUUUAAUGAAAAAUGCCGUAAAACAGACAGUGGGUCACGAUGAACUAAAUUGAUCUUGCAGUUGAUUGUCUGCCGUACAUUUUUCAUUUCUUUUGGCUGCGAACUCCUAUUUGAAAGUAAAGAAUCUCCUCCGAUCCUUCCAUAUCUCUGUGCUGGCUCGUAGCUCGUCGCGGAAUCACUAUCAACUUCAUCAUUGCUGUAAAGGAUAUGUAGUCAUCUAGCAUCUCCUCGAGCGAUAAUUUUCCGUCUUGGUUAACAUCAGCCUAUGCCAAUAAGCUUAAUCGCAAUUAAGUAAGAAACAAGGAAAGUAAAUCUAGUUGCUAGAUACGCCCUGUUCGUUUCAGAUGGUCAUCAAAAUCAGAACAGCGCACGCCUAUGCCACCAUAUUCUGAUUAGUGACUUCUUUCCUUUUUUUUCUGGUUACUUUAAGACUUUUUUUUUUGACACAGUUACUUUCAGACUUUGAUUCUUACGACAAACUUUUUGCAGACUUAUUCAACAGAGUUCUUGACGGGUCACUUUUCAGGAAGCUUAAUACUUUGAUGUGACCACCACCUUCAUCAAACACUUGGCAUGUCACAGUAGCAUAUGAGAAAUCCACUGUAGUGAGGCUCUGCUGCCUCUGCAGUACAGAGCGUGCUUCUUCAAAAAAGGAUAAAAUCUUGCAAAACCAUUUUUUUAAAAAAAAAUAUAUAGGUUAACUCUACUAUUUCAUAAACUUGUCAAAUUAUUAUUAGAAUGCUUUACUUGUGCAUAUCGGCGUCCAAUUCUCUGAACUUCUUUUCAGCUUCGGCACGCUCAAGAUCAUGGUCACCGUCGUCGUAAUGUGCACCGGAGAUCAGGCCAAUAAUCAUGUUAGAUUGGACUACGAGUGGGUGAGAAUCAGGCCAAUAAUAAUGUGCACAGGAGAAUAGGGCUUGGCACAGGUCAACUUCACUAGUAAAGCUGUUUUUUUUACAAAAUAGUUUUAUAAGUGACUUUCUAGAUGAAGGGCUUGUUUGGCGCAACUCAACUUCACUAGUAAGAAACUAGCUUCAUGAGUGCCUUUCUGGAUGAAGCUGAGCUGUUUUGGAAAAAGUGUUUGGUAAAAUAGCUUCACAAACUACAUCAUACAUAGUUGAGAGAGAGAAAUGAGGACUGCAAUAAGCUACUUUUUCCAGUUUCAUCCCAACUUAUGUCUUUGUGAGAGGAGAGGAAAAACUGUUUCGCCCAUGAAGCUGUUUUGGAAACAAGUGUUUGGCAAAAAAAACAGCUCACAACAGCCCAUGAAGCUGUUGUGAGCUGUACCAAACAGUCCCGAAGUUGAGCUGUUUUGGAGAAAGUGUUUGGCAAAAUAGCUUCACCAACUACUUCAUACAUAGUUGAGAGAGAAAUGAGGAAGAAACUGCAAUAAGCUACAUUUUACAGUUUCAACCUAAUUUAUGUCUUUAUGAAAGGAGGGGAAAAUAGCUUAACAGCUCACUACCUCCAAGGAUAUUGACAGUUUGACACCAUGGCAACUAGGUACUGGAGCCAUGCCAUUGCUCUUGCUUACUGCUCUCCCCCGUACACUGCUACAGUGCUACUUAAACCUCAGCGGUCUUUGGCUGCGGGCGCGCCGGCGCCAGUGCUCACCAUCGGUCAAGGCUGCCGGCGCCGCAUGCCUCGCCGCCAUUGAGCAGCAGCUGGCGUCGUCCUCCGCGCGGAGUUCCGGCGGCACUGCCGCGGCUGAUGUUGGAGGACGCCUGCGCCAUUUCCGAGCAUCCAGGGUCGGUCCCGACGAUCCCGCCGAGCUUCUUCCCACCUCCGGCUCCGCUCUGUAACUCGUACCGGGAUAGAAGCAGAGCAGUUCCGGCAGGUCGCUGAGGAACGCAUCCAAUCCGACGAGGCGACGAGUAGAGCAUGCUCACCUUCCUCAAGGCUGUCAUGCAUCUUCCACCAGCGGAUGGAGAAUUUUUGGAGAUAAGCUUCCUCCACCGCAGUCUGCUCGAGGCGCCGCCUUGUUUUGGCUGAUUAAUUGUAACAUCGUUGAAUGAUAGAUUCGGCGAAGCUCUGCGCUCGUCAUUAUCAUAGACGUCAUCUUCUAAAGAGAUUGGAUAAUUGGGUGGAUAUUUCACCUUUGUAUUGGAUUGGAUUCUUUUGCUGUGUAAAAUGGAUUGAAUGGACUCGGGCUUCUCGUAGUUGGAUAAUUUUUUAUCCAUUACCAGGUCUAUCCGAAAGUUGGACACACAUCUCUUCGGACUUCGCUUCUCUGAUGCUCUGAAAAAAAAGAAAGACUCGAUCGAAAGAAUUUUGUUGAAAAAUACUAAGUAUACUCUCUCCAUUUUAAAUUACAAGACAUUUUAAAAAAUUUAGAAACUCAAAACAUCUUAAGUUUGAUUAAAAUUAUAGAAAAAAUAUAAAAAUUUAUAACAUCAAAUAGUUAUAUUACGAAAAUAUAAUUAAUAAAAAAUCUAAUGAUAUUUAGUUAUUAUUAUCUUAUCAUAUAAAAUUUAUACAGAUUUGAGAUUUUUUUUAACUUUACAAGAUUUUUGGAAUGUUUAUAAUUUAGGAUGAAAGAAAUAAUAAUAAUAAUAACUUAGGUUUAUAGAAAAAAUAAUAGAUUAAACUAUUGAAGCUUGAAGCCGCCAUCUAAUGCCCCGGACGCCCCUACCACCCACCAACCAAUCUGACACUUGUAAUACUGCCUGUCCAUACAUGAGCCGCCACGUGACCUACGAAUUCAAAAGUUCGUUAAUGCGCUCAACUACCAGCAGCUAAACCCUGCCCACCUUUGCCACCUUAAAUCCCCAACCAGCCAGCCCCAAUCCAUCCCGCAAAAAGGUCGAGCAGCAGUAAGAUCUGACUGAUCUCGCGAUCUGCCUCCCUAGUGUGCUCUGUAGCGCGCAGAUCGGUGAUGCCUUCGGCGGCGAUGACGGUGGCGGCGGGGCUGGCGACGGGGCCGGGCAGCCGCGUGACGCGGUUCGCCAAGUCGACGGCGGCGUCGGUGACGCCCGUCAGGCCGGGCAAGACGCACGCGCUGUCGCCCCUGGACAACGCCAUGGAGCGGCACACGGUGCACGUGGUGCUCUACCUCCGCGCCGCCCCGGGCCUGGACCGGGAGCAGCUCAAGGAGUCGCUCUCCGAGGUGCUGUCGCUCUACCCGGCCAUGACUGGCCGGCUCACGCGCGGCGAAGGCAGCGACGGGGCUGGCACUGGCAGCGCGGACGCCGCGCACGCGCACCGGGGCUGGGUCGUCAAGUGCAACGACGCCGGCGUGCGCAUGGUGGAUGCCAGGGCCGGCGUCACGCUCGACGAGUGGCUCGCCACGGCGACCGGCGACGAGGAGAUGGACCUCCUCUACUACGAGCCCUUGGGGCCCGAUCCUUACAUCUGGUCUCCGUUCUACGUCCAGGUAUCCUUGACCAACUACUUAAUCAAUCUCAUCAUAGCUCAUUAACUCUGCUUGGUGGAAUUUGGUGAGCUAAUUCAGCAUGCAGCAGGAGCGCGCGUUCUGUUGCCUUGAUUAGUUUGAUGGCUCGGCUGUUGAGUAGAGUUUGGUUAUCCAGACAUUUCAAAAAUAUUAGAGAGUCGAAAGAUCUCAAGUUUGACCAAAUUUAUAUGAUAAGAUAAUAAUAUUUAUGAUACCAACUAAGUAUCAUUAGAAUUUUUUAUUAAUUAUAUUUUUAUAAUAAACCUAUUUGAUGUUAUAAAUUGUUGUAUUUUUCUAUAAUUUUGAUUAAACUUAAAAUAUUUUGGCUUUUAGAAAAUUCUUGUAAUGUCUUGUAAUUUGGAACGUGAGAGAUUAUUACUUAUUAAUUCGGUAGGAACAGAUCCAGAAUUAAAUGUCUUGUGCUCUUGUACCGUUAUCCAGUUGGGGCAUCAAUUGACUGCGUCACAUGGCUGCAUCACUGAAGAGUGAACCCGUAUAUGCAGGAGCUGCAGAUGCAGUAUAGGACCAGAGACGCGAACCUGAUAAUACAUUUCUGCUUAAUUAAUUUUCUUUGGUGAUCAUGUCUAUGGAUGCAGCUGACGGAGUUCGCCGACAAGUCGUACGCGCUGGGGCUGAGCUGCACCCACAUCCACAACGACCCCACCGCCGCCGCGCUCUUCUUCCACGCCUGGGCUGCCGCGCACCGCCGGACCACCAGCCCUUACCCGCCCUUCCUCCACGCGCCGGCAUUGGCGGUCUCCCCGACCUCGCCGCCCCCUCCCCCGCCUCUGCUCGCCGAGAAGGCCAGCGCCGUCUCCCCCGCCAGCACCGAUGCCACCGCCAUGUCCUCCGCGACGUUCCACUUCCCGGCCUCCGCGGUGCGCGCGCUGCUCUCCACCCUGGAGCCUGGCACCACCCCGUUCGCGGCGCUCGCCGCGCUCUUCUGGCUCCGGAUCACCGGCGCCGCCGACGGGGAGGGGGAGCUCACGCUGGCGCUGGACUUCCGCAAGCGGAUGUACGCGCCGCUGCCGUUGGGCUACUACGGCAGCUCCGUCCACUUCGCGCGCGCGCGCGCCGACCUCGCGUCCGGGCUGCCCGCCGUGGCCGCGGCGCUGGACCGCCACGUCGCCGGCGUGCCGGAGGACGACCUGUGGCGCGCCCUGGAGUGGCUCCACGCGCGGCAGCAGCAGGAGGGCGACGCCGCCGCGCCGUUCCAGAUGUACGGGCCGGAGCUGACCUGCGCGGCGCUGGACCACGUGCUCAUGUACGGCGCCGAGUUCGAGGCCGGUGUGCCCCCGGCCCGCGUGUCGUGCCGCGUGGGCGGGGCCGCCGGCGAGGGCCUGGUGCUCGUCCUGCCCGCGGCCGAGGGCGGCGAGGCGCGGGACGUGGUGGUGACGCUGCCCGCGGAGGCGACGGCCAGGAUCUGCCGCGACCCCGAGGUGCUCCGGCACGGCGCCGAGGUGGUGUUCGGGGCGAAGGCCGUAAAGGAGGAGUAACCUACCAGUGCCACGACGGAGCAACAAGAAUCGCUGCUGUGCUGCUGUUGCUGGUUCCCCUGAACUUAAAAUCCAUGCUCUUUACUUGUCUUGCAUACUCUGUAGCACUUCAUUUGGUUUUCAUGUGCCCUGUGGCCAUAUGUUUAUGGAUUGAUCGCAUUGCUGCCGUGCUGUUCGCAACCAUACCUAUCCGCCCAUGUGGAGAGUACUAGCAGGUUUUAAUACUUGAUCUGUCUGGAUUGGAAACCGUGUCUGCACGACUGCAUCCUGACUAUGCGAGUGAGGCGCUAAUUCGUUAUCCACCCCAAACCACCAUUGUUUGCAAGUUAAGGAAUCUCUGGGUUCCACAAACGAAGCCGGCGGCAGCGUUACAUCGGAUCGGCGGACGUGUACAUAUAACAUAUGGUCUCAAGUUUCUCAGUGCAUGUCGCUGGCGUCCCACAUGGAUCACGAAACCAUUCACCUUUACCAUGGAUACGCAGAUCGGAUCCGCUGCCCCAGCACCAGCUAUUCUUGGGGCGGCUUGCAUGUCUGCUGAUGUGUGAUGUGUGUGUUGAUGGCUUCCAACAGCUAUUCUCACGACGGCACGCUCUUGCACCAGGGACGGGAGGAAACGGGUGCCGAGACCCGAAAGAAAGGGAUCUACAGUACAAAACAACGCUCGUCGUAGCCUUUCCACCAGUGUCGCGCUGCAGAGCGUCCUGCGGUCUCCAUGACCGCCGCAGUCGACACCGCGGCCGUGGCGGGUGCGGGCAGGAGGCUGAGGGUGUUCUUCCUACCCUCCUUCAUCCGGGGCCACCUCAUCCCGCACACCGACCUGGCGUGCCGCGUCGCCGCGGCAAGGACCACGGAGGUGGAGGCGACCAUGGUCGUGACGCCGGCCAACGCGGCCCUCAUCGCGCCCACCGUGGCGCGCGCCGCCGCCGCCGGCCACGCCGUGCGCGUGCUCUGCUACCCGUUCCCGGACGUCGGCCUCGGCGAGGGCGUCGAGUGCCUCACCACCGCCGCCGCGCACGACGCGUGGCGUGUGUACCGCGCCAUGGAGAUCGUGCAGCCGUCCCACGAGUCGCUUCUCCGGGACCACCGCCCCGACGCCAUCGUCGCCGACGUGCCGUUCUGGUGGACCAACGAGGUCGCCGCCGAGCUCGGCGUGCCGCGCCUCACGUUCCACCCUGUCGGCAUCUUCGCGCUGCUCGCCAUGAACAGCCUGUUCACCAUACGGUCCGACAUCAUCCGGACCAGCUCCGCCGCCCCUGGGACGGUGCUGUCCGUGCCUGGCCUGCCCGGGAAGGAGAUCGCCAUCCCGGUGUCCGAGCUCCCGAACUUCUUGGUCCAGGACGACCACCUCUCCAAAUGGUGGGAGCGGAAGAGAGCGUGCCAGCUUGCUGGCUUCGGCGUCAUCGUCAACACCUUCGUCGACCUAGAGCAGCCCUACUGCGAGGAGUUCAGACGCGUGGAGGCGCGCCGCGCCUACUUCGUCGGGCCCCUGGGACUGCCAUCGCGCUCCACCCUGCACCGCGGCGGCGACGGCAACGUGGACUGCCUGGACUGGCUGUCCACCAAACCGAGGCGGUCGGUAGUGUUCGUCUGCUUCGGGAGCUGGGCCGACUUCUCCGUGACUCAGAGCAGAGAGCUCGCCUUGGGGCUCGAGGCGUCGGACCAGACAUUCCUUUGGGUUGUCCGCUGCCAUGACUCCAGCGACCAGUGGGCACCGGAGGGCUGGGAGCAGCGCGUCGCCAACCGUGGCUUGGUCGUCCGCGGAUGGGCGCCGCAGCUGGCGGUGCUGGCCCACCCGUCGGUGGGCGCGUUCCUGACGCACUGCGGUUGGAACUCGGUCCUCGAAGCCGCGUCCGCCGGCGUGCCGGUGCUAACGUGGCCGCUGGUGUUCGAGCAGUUCAUCAACGAGCGGCUGGUCACCGAGGUGGCCACGUUCGGCGCGCGCGUCUGGGACGGCGGCAGGCGCAGCGAGAGGCCCGAGGAUGCUGAGACCGUGCCGGCGGAGGCAAUCGCGCGGGCCGUCGCCGGUUUCAUGGACGGCGGAGAGCAGCGCGACAGGUUGAAGGCCAGGGCCGGGGAACUAGCGGAGCGCGCGCGCGCCGCUGUAGGUGAGGAUGGCUUGUCCUGGCGUGACGUAAACCGCUUGAUCGAUGAUCUCCUGCAGGCCAGAGCCUCAGGGUUGCCACAAGGGAAUUCCAUCCAGGUUUAAUUUGUUUUUGCGCAUACAUUGUAUGUAAGGCUAGAAAACAGAAUAAAAGGUGACAGUUUCGGCAAGGCAAAAUGUGAAUACUUCCAUUUUGGAAAGGCCAAGUUUUAUGAAUGCUUCCAUUUUUGGGAAGGCCAAGUUUUACUCUCAAAGCCCGUUUCGAUCUCUAGAAUGGGGCCUCGUUUAGUUAUACCGUAGCAUUUUUAUUUAUAUAUUUAGUAAUUAUUGUCCAAUUAAAACUAACUAGGCACAAAAGAUUCGUUUUGUAAAUUACAAAAGAAUAUGUACUUAGUUAAUAUUUAAUGCUCUGUACAUGUGCUGCAACAUUCAAUGUGAUAAAAAAUCUUAAAAAAAAAAUGGAUUUCGGUUGUAACUAAAUAAGAUCUUAGACUAUCUCCAACAAUCGUCACCCAAAAUACAAGACUCAUUGAUCCUUUAGCUAGCGCUACAAGUAAAAGGUUCCAUACCUAUUUUUAGUAUUCUCCAACAACAAGACCUAAAAGACAACACUCUCUGCAAAUGGGUCUCGAAGAGAGAGAAUACCCAAAUUUUGGUUAUGCCUCUCCUAAUACCCAAAAUGAGUCUUCUGUAUGGGUACUCUGUUGGAGGCUAUAAGUAUUGUGUUGAAGACCCAUUUUAGGUUUGGGUUCCGAAAUGAGUCUUCUAUUGGAGAUAGCCUUAGAUUGAAUCUAGGGCCCCUUGGCACAGCUCUUAGCCUCUGUUUCACUCUCAUCUUCCGCAAAGCUCUACCAAGUACUUCAAAUGCAACUGGAUUCUCGUGGGAAGCUCAAGAGAAUCACUUCUCCAUUUAUACUGUGAGUUAGGAGCUUAAAAACCGGUAUCCAUCGCUUUCCGCUGCUUUCCAUUUAUUUCUCACAAUAAUCGCUAUAGAAUUGAUUUUCACUUGCUCUUCACUUUGCUCUUCAUCAGAAUCACUUCUUCGAAGAAUAAGGAGUGAAGCUUAAGAAUUGAGAAGUGAAGCUCCACCGCCCUAAAUUAUAAUUCGGCUGCUGGUUUCCUAAGCAGUCAUCAUCAGCCACAGCAGCACUGCCUCAAAGUGCAACCGAGCAACGCUCCCUAUUUUUACUAUUUAUAUUUACCCGCUUGAUGCCCUCCUCAUCCAAAGCAGUUACCUGUUGUGUGCAUCCUUGGAACCGUUGGACAGCCACGACACCAUCAGCUAAGUGGAAAGAGCAUUAUCUAGCAUGCUUAUUCGAUGAUGCCAGAAAGAUUUUCAAUUCAGCGGACCCAAAUGGACCAAUAGUAAAUUUUAGAACAUCCUUGUCCAAAGUAGUGAAAUGGCUUGUGCAAAUUAUCCUGAUAACAUACACUUCGACCCUAGUACCGCACAUUUUUAUUGUCCUCUUAGACCAGUCUGAGCGAGAUCUUCAUGUCCAGAUUCACAAGACUUGAAGAUCUCGCUGGAGUCAAGCUUGCGCUAGGCUCGAGCGCGAGUCCACUCACCCCCUCAUUCGCGAGUAUGCUCCUCUGGUCAUCUCCUUCUUCACCCCGUCGGUCGCGCAAGCAUGCCCCUCCUCCACCCUCUGCUGCCCCAUCAUGGGCUCUAUCUCGCUCCAUACCAUCGCUGGCGUGGGCUUGCGCUGCAACCACGAGGAGGACACGGUGGAGCUCGGUGGAAAUCGAGGAGUGCUCCACGAGCGAUGUGUUGAGCUUGAAGCAGUGGUGGAGGAGGAGCUAGACGUCCGCGCAGAGGAGCAAGGUGGGCGCACGAAGGACCACCUCGCACGGCCUAGUGCCCUUCAACCUCGGUGAGGUGGGCGCACGAAGGACCAAAUCGCACGAGCUCGUCGUCCACCUUCACCGCGAGCUCGGCGGCUGGCGCAUCUGCUCGUCCUCCUUUCUUGUGAUUCAGCGACCCUGCUUCCUUCCUCUUCUACCUCGCCCGCUGGCGACCUUGCUCCCCUCUACCACCCCACUUGUGCGGAUCUAGUGGUCCUCCAUGGCAAAUUGGCGGUUGACGCAUCUAGUGCUCCUCGCCUAAUAGUCUCUCGUGUUGUGCCAAGUCCUACCUUGCUCACAAACCAAAGUGGGAUGGAGGAGGAGGUUCGACGACUAAGGUGGUAUCAUGCUCACAUGCUUGCCACCUGUUCGACUAAAAACAUCACAGGGUAAACUUACGAGUUCAAGGAAGAGGUGAUUUUAUACAAACUACAUCAGACAACUAAACACAUCUAUUCCUAGCACUUAGCUGGUAGUCAUGCAACCAAAUAUGUAUUGUUUGCAUUAGCUAAAGCUGACUAGAGCCUUGUUUAGUUCCGAAAACUUUUUGGCUUUUUUGUACUGUAACACUUUCGUUUUUAUUUAACAACUAUUGUCUAAUUAUGGACUAAUUAGACUCAAAAAAUUCAUCUCAUGAUUUACAGACAAACUGUAUAAUUAGUUUUUGUUUUCGUCUAUAUUUAAUUCUCCAUACAUAUGCCGUAAGAUUUGAUAUGACGAAAAAUUUUGAAAUUUUUUUGAUUUUUUGGAUGAACUAAACAAGGCCUAGAUCUAACCUGUCUUAAUUUUACUGGUUCGUCUAGACUAGCAAACCAACCAGACACACUCGUGUCUACUCCGUAAGUCCAAGUUUCAGUGUUUCAGCAGGAACAAAUACUAAAGCCUUGUUUACGAUUUUGAUACGGUAAUAUUUUCGUUUUAAUUUAAUAAAUAUUAUUCAAUUAUAAAGUAAGUAGUCAAACUAUAAAAUUAGUUUUUAUUUUUUUUAUAUUUAAUACUUCAUGUAUGUGUGCUGUAAGAUUCGAUGUAAUGAAAAAAUUUAAAAAAAUUUUAAUUUUUGGGCUGAAUUAAACAAGGCCUAACUUUGGCGAAUACAUGCAUCCUAGGUCUUGUUUACUUCUACCUAAAAACCCAAAUUUUUUCAAAAUUUUCUGUCACAUCGAAUCUUUAGACGCAUGCAUGGAGUAUUAAAUAUAGAUAAAAAUAAAAACUAAUUGCACCGUUUGUGGCAAAUAUUAUUCAAUCAUAGACUAACUAGGAUCAAAAGAUUUGUCUCGCAAUUUACAGGCAAACUAUGUAAUUAGUUUUUGUUUUUGUCUAUAUUUAAUGUUUCAUGCAUUUAGCACAAGAUUCGACAACGAUCGUGGAAUUGGAUUUGGGCUAAACAAGGCCUAAACAAAGUGUAGGGGCGCACCAGCGGUGGAAUGGUCGCAUAGUCCACCCAAUUUUUUUUCCUGGAUUCAUUUCUUUGCCCACGUCUACCAUCCAGUGUAGGGGCGCACCAGCGGUGGAAUGGACCCGUAGUUCACCCAAUUUUUUUCCUAAACAAGACCCUAGUAGAUAUUUUCGUUUCAAGACAUGUCCAGCAGACCAGACCCCACUUGCCCACAUCCCACACCUCUCUCGACUCUCGUCCAAUCCGCGCGCACGCCCCCGGCGACGGCGCAGCCAACCAGCGUCUCCCGUCUCCACUCUCCCGCGAUCCAGCUGGUCCCCACCCGUGGCCAAAAGCCGGAGAGCACCGGGCCACCACCGGCAAUAAAAUACGCUCGGGAAGCUGAACGGGGGGCGGCGGACGUUUCCAGAACUCUCGCCCGCGCCUUCGCGAAACUUCGUCGCCACAUCACCUCACCCGCUCCAGAUUAAACAACGCCUCCCCGCCCCACUCCCCAGCGAAGGCCUCGCGGCCACCUCUUCCAGAACCGUCUGGAAUGUUCGGCGCCGACGCCGGGCGCCCGCCAUACGUGGGGCCUCGCGCCUGCCCGUGGCGGUCCGCGUGUGCUUGCCUACUGGUAGAACGUCCCCCGACGAGGCGACGACGCCGUAUAUACCCGCCUCAAGUACAAAGGGAAAGCUACUCGCCGGGCACCUCAACUGGGGAGACUGUACUUUCCGGUCUCUGGUCCUUCACGCUCUGUACGUUCAUGCACUGUUGCUCUCACUCGCUUUCUUCUUCUACCUCUGGCUCUGGUCCUUCCUCCCCCUUCUCUGCCAAAGCUCUGCGUCUUGCCGCUGCGGUUUUCACUAAUUUCUUUCCCUUUCGAUUCGCAGAGGCUUCAGUUUAGACGUUCUCUAAUCGGGUAAGCUAACGUCGAUAGCUAAGAUUUUGCGAGCAUUUGCAGUCUACUGACAACUUCUUCUUCCACCUCUUUUUUUCGUUUUCGACCAACCUUUGGUGCUUCUUGAAUUCUCGUGCUCUUUCGACAUUCAGGAAGGCCAUUUUCAGAUCGAGCUAGUUCAGCCGAGGCGUUUUUUUCAGCCAAAGAUCGCCAUCUUUUGGACCUGCUCUUGAUUCGUUCGUUUGGAUUGUUUGAUUCGUUUCGACUUUCCUUUGCUCCUCUGCUCCGUCAAGCGGACCUCCUCUGUUUUUCGGCCAUUGCUCGGUCGCGUUUGUUUGUUUGUUUGUUUGCUUGUUCGGUUUGUUGGUGCGGCCAUGGAUCCCUUCCACGGCGGCAUUGUGAAGGAGGAGGAGUUCGACUUCGACUUCGACUUCACCGGCGUUUCUGCGGGGGACGCGGCGGUGGCGGCGGCGGCGUCCUCGUGGGCCGUCGCCUUGCCGGAGCUGCCCCGGCCGAUGGAAGGACUCGGCGAGGUGGGCCCCACCCCAUUCCUGACCAAGACCUACGACGUCGUGGACGACCCCAAUACCGACACCGUCGUCUCCUGGGGGUUCGCCGGCAACAGCUUCGUGGUCUGGGACGCUAACGCCUUCGCCACGGUGAUCCUCCCGCGCUACUUCAAGCAUAGCAACUUCUCCAGCUUCGUCCGCCAGCUCAACACCUACGUAAGUCCUGUCCAGUCUGUUGUUGGAUUUCAAUUCGCUGUUCAAUGCUUGAGCCGUCAAUGGCGGUCGAUCGCCGGCAUUGCAGGGGUUCAGGAAGGUUGACCCGGACAGGUGGGAGUUCGCGAACGAGGGGUUCCAGCGUGGCCAGAAGGAGCUCCUGAGAACGAUCAAGCGCCGGCGCCCGCCGUCGAGCCCGUCGGCGCAGCAGGGGCAGGCGCCAUCGUCGUGUCUGGAGAUGGGACGAUUCGGGCUCGACGGCGAGGUGCACCGGCUGCAGCGCGACAAGCGCAUCCUGCUCGCGGAGGUGGUGAAGCUGCGGCAGGAGCAGCAGGCGACGCGCGCGCAGAUGCAGGCCAUGGAGGAGCGCAUCACCACGGCGGAGCAGAAGCAGCUGCAGAUGACGGUGUUCCUGGCGCGCGCCUUGAAGAACCCGAGCUUCAUCCGGAUGCUGGUCGACCGGCAGGGCCUUGGUGGCCGCCGUAGGGAGCUCGAGGACGCGCUCUCCAAGAAGCGCCGCCGCCCCAUCGAGUACCACCUCCCGCCCGACGGCGAGAGCAGCGGCACCGCUACGGAGGCGGCGGUGAACGACUACAUUUGCGGCCUUCCGGUCGGCGUUAAUGGCGUGGCGGAGGCGGACGACGACGGGAGCCGGCUGGAGGGGAGCGGCGGCGGCGGGGACACGGAGAGCUUCUGGGUGGAGUUGCUCAGCCUCGGCCUGGAGGAGAAGCACCUGGAGGGCGGCGGCGGCAGCGAGGAGGGGAGCGGAGCUGACGUGGACGACGACGUGGAUGUGCUGGUGCAGAGCAUCUACCACUUGAACCCGAACCCGGGCAGCCCCAGUGGGAAGUGAAAGUUCCAGAACGUUCCAUAUUCCAGAACCCACUAUGGUCUAUGGAAGCUCCCAGUGGGCACUGCAAGUAGGCGAUAGUUUUUUAUCCGGCGCCUGACUUUUUGUCGCGGGCUGUGUGCAAGUUGCAAAAGUUGCGGUUGGCCGGUUGCCAAGGAAUGUUCAGGAAGCUCGUCGGACUACGAAGUUUCUAGAAGAUGGAGCAGCAAGGCUCCAGCCUACUGUACUAUCAGUGGCAAGUUAGAUUCUGACUAGAUCAGGAUGAAGCAAAGGCACUUUCCAAAUGUGGCUGAUGGUGCCAUUAUUCUGACUAGAUCAGGAAGAAGCAAGGUACAAAAACCAAAAACUUUUUUAAGAUUUCUCGGCACAUGUAUGGAGCAUUAAAUAUAAAUGAAAAUAAAAACUAAUUGUACAAUUUGCCUGUAAAUUGUGAGACGAAUCUUUUAAAUCUAGUUAUUUCAUGAUUGGACAAUAUUUAUCAAAAUCUAAAAAAAAAAACUAAACAAGGCAAAGACCUAAUACUCCUAUUUUUCUGAAGUUCUGAAAGGAUGUCCGUCCUGUCUAUAACUGCCGUUCCUCCGAGUGCUGACAAUUUUUGCUGACAAAGCAACGAAGUAGUAUGGUGACAUUGGAUGUUGUCAUGUGUUGAUAUAGACUACACUGUGGAACAAAAAAAUUAAUUAUUUUGGUCUGCUCUAUAAGAAUGUUAAAUUAUCAGAAUGCUUUUCAUACAACUCAUAUUUACUAGAGUAUUAUAUUGAGCAAAGUCCAACAACAAACACAUCUGAACAUUUAAAACAAGACAAGGUUUGCUGACGUGGCACUAGAGCCCACCUGGAGUCCUCUCAUUAUUUAGGGGUGUUUGGGACUAUUCUGCCCUAUGUUUUUUUAGCUCCGCUCCACGGUUUUUAGCCAAACAGCUUUAGCUCCAUGCACUUAGUUCGAGAAAAAAUCGUAGAGUUAUGAGAGCACCUAAAGAGGUACUCCACGAACUCCAGUUUUUUGUGGAGCUGCUCUAUGAUGGAGUUUGUGGAGCAGUGUCAAACACCCUCUUAGUCACUCCCAUAAUUUUUUAUAUAAAGUCGUAUGAAUAUAAAAUUUAUACAAAAUUUGUAAAGUUCAACAUGAUCUACAACUUUAGAUCUGAUAAUUUUUAAUUAAUAUAUUUUAGAGGCUUAAAUAUUUAAUUUAAAUUACCAUAUUUUAGUAUUUUUAUUUUGAAAUGACCUCAAAGUUGACAUAGUUUAUAUGAAAAUCAUAGUUACGAAUAAGAUACUCAAUUUUUAAGUUGACAAUUUUUCAUCUGAUAUCGUUUAGAGGCACACGUAAUUGUUUUAAGUUCUUUGAUUUGCUAUUAAUUUUAUUUUUCAAAUGACCUCAAAUGUUGACAUGGUCUACAUAAAAGUUGUAGCUUUUAACAUAAUCUAUAACUUCAUAGUUUAUAACAUUCCCUCAACUAUCACGUGGUUUGAUUAUACCUCUUGAACUUAAAAAAUAAGCUAAUGUUAUAUUCUCAACUCUUAAAAAAGUUCAAAUUAGCUUGUUUGCCCUGGUUUGAAGUACUUUUCAAGACGGUUUCAUAUUUUUUAGUUAAAAGAAAUCAUAAAUACCUGACAAAACUUAAACCAUGUAAAAUGUCUCUAAGCCUUUACAAAAUUCCAAAAGUUGCUAUAGAUAGACUGGGAUACGACAAACCCAAAUAAAAAUAUCUAGAGCUAGUACAAAUAUCUCCUAAAGGUUUUAAAGUUACAUUUUAUUAUAGAAUAUAGAAAAAUAUCUAAAAAAUUUCCAAAACAUUCUAAUUAAUGUCUAAAUGUAUUUUGAAAAUAUUUUGUAACAACAACAUGUGGCUGCUUUUUAAUUUUUUCUAGACACUUUUUUAUAGCUAAAUCUAAUUUUUUGAAGCUUCUAAAGAUGCUUUUACGGAAAAAAAGUGUCUAGAAAAAAUUGAAAAGCAGCCACAUGUUGUUCCCUCAAAUUCUUAGGCGUUGUUUAGUUCCAAAAAAAAACAAAAAAAAACUCAAGAUUCUCCGUCACAUCGAAUCUUACGACACAUGUAUGAAACAUUAAAUAUAGAUGAAAAUAAAAACUAACUACACAGUUUGCUGCCUGUAAAUCACGAGACGAAUCUUUUAAGCCUAGUUACUUCAUGGUUGGACAAUGUUUGUCAAAUAAAAACAAAAAUACUACAGUAGCAAAAUCUAAAAAAAAAAUUGCAACUAAACAAGGCCUUAGGCUUGACAGAGAAUACGUUUUCUACUUCCACUCACGUAAAGAAAGUAGAGGAAACGCUUUAUGACCGUCCCGCAAUUUUUUGAGUGAGCUUAAAAAAUGCAUCAAAUCCCACCGCCACGUCAACACAUGGGAACCAAUCGCACCACAUGGCCACGCAACGAGCACGACCCCGUUACCCACGCGAUUACACGAUUUUCAGGGUCCUUUAUUGCAAAAACAAGCAUCACCUCCGUUGCCAUCUCGCUCCCGUGACCCACCCCGUCGCGUUUCGGCUUGGCUUCCUUCUCCCGACGACCGCCGUGCAGGAGCGGAGCUCCCGCCGCUUCUCUUUUCCCCUUCCGAGAGGCCCGAGUCCUGAUCCCACGCUCAGGGAGGUGGUAUUUGGAGAUUAGCGAUGGCGAGGUGGCGGCCGGCGGUGCUGCUGGUAGUGGCUCUGGCGGCGGUUUUGUCGGCGGCGUGGCGGGCGGAUGCGCUAUCGGUGACGGUAACCGACACCGAGUGCAUCCACGAGUUCGUGCCCUACGAGGGUGACACAGUGUCCGGGAACUUCGUCGUCGUCGACCACGACAUCUUCUGGAGCUCCGACCACCCAGGCAUCGACCUCACGGUACACACCCGAUCCCCUUGUCCCCAGCCGUACUCCAAUCCUGCGCGGUUAAAUUUGAUGGGUGGAUCGGGGUUCGGUUGGGUUUAUGGGUUGUUUUGAUGGGGAUCUGGCCAUCAGGUAGAUUGAAUUGGGGAUCGGGUGCCUUCAUGAUUCGUGAUCCCCUGACGCGAUCUCUUGUUUAUGCACCAGUUUGGCGAUCUAAAAUAUCUUUCUAUGAUUGGCACAAGGCUUUUAUAUAGUUUAGCUUGAUGAAUUAGUAGUGUUCGCUGCUUAUAGGAGUUGAUUCAGUAAUAGGUUUUGCAAAGUUCGGACCUUUUGGGGAAUUUCAGCGGGUUGUCACUGCUUUGGUAUACGUCUGCUGCGGGUGCCUUGCGAGUAGUAUGGUUGGAUGAUAAGCUGUUUUGCUGCUGGUUACCUUGUUUGGAUUUUUGGUUUUGUGGGAAGGAGUAACUUUUGGGGUGAAAUGACGCCAAUUUCACUUCUUCCCAAUUGAAAAUAGUGAAAGGCCCAUCUGUACUUCCAUAUUCAGUUGCUAUGUUGUUGGCUCUCUUUGUUGGUUUGUGCUGCAAUUGAUGCUAAUAGAUGUUCAACUUUCUAGUCUGUCUUAUGAUUCAAUUGAGUUAACACUACCGCGGAUGCUGCAAUUGAUUCAUAUACCUCCUGGUCCUGUCUAGAUAAGCUGACAGUUGUGCCUUCCUGAUAGUUUGGACAUUUGUUUUGUGCUAGUAGUUUUACUGUGCUAUACUUAUUCUUUGCUUGGAGAUGCAUCUGUGCCUAUCUGAGUGGAAAGGAGGGCUUCCCUCUUGCCCCAUAUUUGGCAGUUUGGGCCUUUUUCUGUUGAACUUUCAGAUGUAUCCUUCUGUGCAGUGCUUUCACAUGCUUAGCACUGAAGAAUUCAUUUUUGAGUGGAAACCAUUUUUCUCUCUGAUUUUAAAGUUAGCAUAUCGUUUCUGUAGAAGGUACACUCUAUUUGGGAACAUUUUAGUUUAUAGAUUCGCAUAUGAAAAUAAAUCUCUCUUUGAGAGGAAGCAAUGUUUUGAUGUCUCAGAAAACUUUUGUCAAUUACACUGAAUGAAACCUAAUGCACUUGGGAAAAUAAUGGGUUUCACUUAUGGAAAAUUGAUUCUAUAGCUUUAAAUGACCACGAGAAUGGUAAAAUACCAUUGAAAGAUCACGCAAAUGUAAAAUACCACUGAAACAUCCAAACACCAACUGAAACAUCCAAACACCAACUGAAUCUAGCACUCCGUUACAUUUUGAUAUCAACGGUGUCAGCUAAGACAAAAAAAUACCCCUGAACACCAUGGCGCCAGAGGAACAAGCCGCAGCUUGAGCGCCCAGGACAGUCGGUCGCCACUGAUGCCGGCAGGGAAGCCAAUGGCAUCAGGCGGUGUCGCAGACCAGGCCGGUGGUGGCAGGCUUACUGGGCCCAGGCCGGUGGGUGGUCGGCGCUGCAUGGAAUGGGAUCAAAGAGGGCUGGUGGGAGCGGUGUUAUAGUGUCGAAGCAGGAGGUGUCAUACGAUUGCAGGCUCUUUACAGUGCUUGCGGUUGGGAGAUGAGGAUAAGUUUGGUUAGACUUCCGCACAAGGGUACAAUUAUCAUCCUUUUCCGUUGUGUUAGCUGCAAACAUGAAAACACGAUUUUUGUCAAUAAAAUCAAAUGGAGUGCUAGAUCCGGUUAGAGUUUGAAUGUUUCGAUGGUAUUUUUCCUUGCCAUGACAUUUUGGUGGUAUUUUACGAUUCUCGGGAUCUUUCAGUGCUUUAGAACUAAUUUUUCUUUUCACCUAUUGCAUUACUGAUGUUUUCAUUUGUUGCCCUGUUCUUCAUCGUUCUUCAUCUUGGAGUGCUCCUAUCGCCAAUCUGUCACCAAAAUUGAAAGGGCCUUGGCACUAUGCCAACUACCGGUCACCUCUUACUCCCAACAAGGCAACAAAGCAAUGAUGUUUGUUGCUUUUGGAAAUGUCUGAAGUGGUCUAAUGCAAUUACAAGUGCUAUUAAUAUUAUUAGUACUUCUAAAAUUAAUGCAAUUACAGUUUUUUGCGCAUGGUUGGAUGCUCUGUUCUGCGGGACGUUAUACGCUGCGAUUAAAACGCUUGUUGGUUUCGUGGAUCGGUUUGUGUCAGUUGGGUGAACCCUCUGUUCAUUUCAGCAUGGUUUCUUUAGGCUCGCUGCGUUUUGUUUUUGCUCUAUUACAAACUAUUGUAAUUUCGUUAGUGUCAAGUAAUGAAAUUUGGCUUGGCCAUGGUGGGAAAAAAGUACCUGCAUAUAUUUUUUUAAAUAUGCUCUGUGUGUGGGUAGUAAAGUAUAUAUUUGCGUUAUACACAUCAUGUUCUAUAUUAACUUUUUGCUUCUGUAAAUACAGGUAACGUCACCAGGUGGCAACACUGUGCACACAUUGAAGGGAAAAUCUGGUGACAAAUUUGAGUUUAAAGCUCCGAGGGGUGGCAUGUACAAGUUCUGCUUCCAUAACCCAUAUGGAGCGCCUGAAACUGUUUCUUUCUACAUUCAUGUUGGGCACAUACCCAAUGAGCACAAUCUGGCGAAAGAUGGUUAGUUUACUGCCUUUCUAUCUUAAGCUUCUCAGCACCUGCCUACUCUAUCAAUCUUAACCGUUUUGCAAACACUAAACAACCAUCAAUUCGUUUGAUUUUUUUUACCUUCAUCACUGUUCAGAGUUAUGUGUCAUUCGUCCAGUGUUAACACUUUAGCACUGCCAUGUGUAAACAAUGUCUCAUUUCUGUUGCAGAGCACUUGGAUCCUAUCAACGUCAAAAUCGCGGAGCUGAAGGAAGCAUUAGAAUCUGUCACCGCCGAGCAGAAGUACCUAAAAGCACGCGAAGCUCGUCACCGACACAGUAAGCUCAAUGGACUUGGGACUUGCAUGUGCUAUUAUUACAUCUCUGGAAUGUUUAGCACAUUAUAAGCAUUUAUUAUGCUAGUUCUUUUUUCUUUUGAAAAAUAAUAACGUCAAUGCUAACAGCAAGAAGGACCCCCUAUCAGUUAGAAGUCAGAACUCAUUCUUGUCAUCAUUUCUGAAUGCAUUAGAGUUAGAGCGCAACAAAUUAAGAGAUUAGCAUCCGUCUAUUCUUCACCUAUCUAAGUUUGUAUCUAGUUUUAUCAUGGCAUACUUAUUGAAUCAAUGUGUUCUUCAAUGUAGAGGGGACAACCAGAUAAUUUUGUUUAGGGGCCAUUUGGAUCCUUUCACUUGGAGGAAUUGAAAUCUACUUAAUAAACUAGGCUAUUUGGCUUGGAAUUUGACAUUCCAGCACUUUCCAAAGUUCACAUAUAAUAUAAGCCUAUCUCAAAUUCAUAGGGUGGGAGAUGGAAAUUGAUUCUAUAGAUCACCGCGCUAUGUUUUCUACUUUGCAACUUAUAACACGCUAUUCAACUCACUCCCCUACGGUACAAAUGCAACACAUAAGUAUCUCUCUCGUAUAGCCAACAAUAAUAUACAAAUAUAAUCCAUAUAGAACCAUAUUAGCUUAAUUAAUAUGUGUCUAGAUUAUGAUUAUUAAAAUGAAUUCAAUUCUAAGGAUCCAAACGGGGCCUAGUGAAAUUGUUCAACCUGUUCUGUUUUGCCUGCCUCUUUCAGUUUUACUUUCUAUUCAAGUAAAAAAAUGCCUUGUACUGAGAUCUCUAGAAAAUCUAGGAAACAAAUGUCUAAUUACGUAGCAGGGGACAGGACAUUAUGGAUACAUUUUCUUCUGUUGAUCUUUUCAUGUAUUUAUUGCUACCGUUUGAUGACAAUGCGGAGCUAAUUUUCAUGCUUUGAUUCCCAGCUAAUGAGAGUACCAGAAAGCGUGUCAUGUUCUAUACAAUGGCAGAGUACAUAGCUUUCAUGGCAGCUAGCGCGUUGCAAGUCCUCUACAUCCGCCGCUUGUUCAGUAAAAAUGUGGGAUACAACAGAGUGUAGGAUACAACUCUACUUCAAAGGCGACAUUGCAAGCACCACAUGGCCGGAACGGGAAACAUUCUCUGCCAAUUUGACAAAUUGUAGCUCUGCACCCUCUCUUUUUUCUUCUUCUUUUGUUAGAUUAUGAGAAACACUUUUUAAUUUAUAUCAUCGUGUACUUUUAGCAACACUUGUGAUAUGUUAAGUGCAUUUGAUGCUGAACAUAGUCCAUAAUUAAUCUUCAGAGGAUUGUUAUGAAAGUUAGUAUUGUUCUGCUACCGAUUUGAUUGUUAAUCCUGUGAUGUCUAUAAGAACAGUUAUGUCUCCAUGCCACUCUUAGGAGCAGAAGAGUGUUACAUCUGACAGUAGGACCGUGGUGACAUUGUGGGUUAAUUUUGUUUCGUGGCACCAUUUCACGCCUUAGAAGCCCUGUUUGGAUCCAUAGAACUAACAACUAGUUGACUAAUUUUUAGUCCCUAAACAUUCAAACAGGUGGACUAAGGCGGACUAACUGUUAUUCUACUAGUUAUGAACUAGUUAUUAGUUCACUAGUUGUUAGUCAUAGUCAUCCAAACAGGCACUUAGAUUGAACAUAACAAGUUGUUUAAUGGAAAACGUGUGUGUGUGUGUGUGUGUGUACCUAAACUCUGAACAGAAUUCCACCUCGCACUUGCAGUGCACAUUUCCGGGCAUCUGGCACAUAAUUAGUGUUUUUAACUAUAUAAAAAAAUGAAAAAUUGGAGAGGCAAUGGGAAUGGCAUCCGUAGCAUGGUCGACACAACUGUGCUAAUUUAGUUUAUAGUAUUCUUCAAUAAGAAUAGGGGUUCAAAUUAGUGACUCUAAGGUGGCGUCUUCAAAAUGGGUUUCCACCACACUUAUUUUGAAAAAACUGUACAAUUUGUUGAACCAAACUGGGUCACCAACUCGCACCUCUUGUAUGAAAAAUCAAGAGAUCGAAACCAAGCUGAACAAUAAUGUGGUCAAAUAAAACUGUGCAAUUCACAGCUAUACCAAGCCACAAUGCCACAUCACAGGCAGCAGCAUCACCAUGCCCCAGUUUCGACUCUCUCUCUAUUGGAGCAGUAGGGAAUACUUAUUUACUUACUAGAACUCCUGAUGCACAUAGAAGUUGUUGUAUAUGUAUAUCAAAUCAAAUACUUCACAAUAAAGUACACUAACAUUUUUAUUUGACAUUUGAGUUAAAAUUUACAUAGGGGAGUAUCAUUUGUUGCACCAUGACAGAGGUUUGAACUUGAACAUGCAUAUCUUUCUGGUCAGAAUAAAACUGCAGACCUUUGUUUGAUCGUAUUGCUUUCAUAUAAUCACACUCUUGGCCACUGUGGGCUGACUACCUGCAGAGUAAAUAAACAAAAUCAUCAGUAACGAGCAUAUCAUGUUUUUACUUAGCAUGUACAUAUUUGACGGUGCUGCUAUAAACCUCUAAUGUGCUGAAAACUAACUGCAUGCGGCUAGCAACUACUGAUGGUUCCUCUGAAUUUCCUGUGACAGCCAUCUGUUCCAGCUGCAAGGUUUUCACUGGUAACCUGCAGCGUCAAUUAUUUUAGGAACAUGUAUGAGAUUCUGAGAUAAAAGAAGAACAACGCUACUGGCAGAAGCUGCCCCUUACCAUGCCAUUCCUUUGACAUAGUAAGCGUUUGCGAUUAUAGCACAAAAUCCUUUCCACUGAUGCAAGACGUCAGCUGACACCGGUGGGUUAGUAGACCACCUGGUAACUGUUAGUUGUGGUGUGCACAAUAUUGUGAUGAACACUAUACUGAGCCACAUAAUGCACUCACGAAUCUGCAUAAAAGAGUAUCGCUGAGGCAAAUAAUGAAACUAGAGAAGUUCUUAUUGGGGGGGGGGGGGGGGGGUGCAUUUGCAUCACAAACAUGCCCACUACUGAGUUACAUGAUACCUUAUAAAAGCUUCAUAUCUUGCCAAUGAGAACUAGUGAGUGGGCUUACUCUACUGAAUACAAAAACUGACAAAAAUAAAGAUAUUGCGUAAAACAAAUCAAAGUGCAUUUUUUUCUAAAGCAACAGAUCAAAGCAAAACUGUUUGAGUUCGACUUGACUACAAAAGCUGCAGUAUAAAAAUGUAAAUGCAUAACAGAAAAUGAUACUGAACAGCAAUAUAAAAAAAAUGAUGCAGCACAUGAUUGUCAGAGCAUGCUAACCUCAAAGGAGUGGACUUUGAACUUCGAGCUGGUCCCCCCUAAGGACCCUAAGCCUUCAAUCUCUAGACCAGAAUCUUCAAGAUCCAUAAGUUCCUUUCUAAGCCCCUCAUCUGUACACCCUAGUGCAUAUGCGGUCACUCCAGCACUGACAAACUCCUGAUUAUAUCCUCAGAUACAGUAAUUACUAAUCAGCAAACCGAAAAAACUUCUGGCAAAUAUGGUGAAGAUUCGACAAGAAUCAAUACUUUUAGGUUUUCUCCACCUCCUCCUCGAUCAAUAAUUUUCUUAUAUCGCUUGAAUAAACUGAUCGCUAUGUUACGUGAUGAGCGGAAUUCAUCAUCGGGCGAAGCAUUAACAUGGAAUCGAUGCUGCAUACAACAAAAUGCUUUAAUAAGAGGGGAAAAAAACAGUGAUCAAAAUCACAAAAAGGAGGGCAAGGAAUACCAGCCAGUGCCUUGUAGUUCUUUUAUUUAAGCUUUUACACAGAAGAUGGCUGGUUCUAGUGAAGUUAACUUUGUGGCUGUGAACAAUGUGUGGCUUCUGUACAUGAUGGCCUUCUGCUGAACUGCAAACUGCACUGCAUCCUAAUUUACAAUGAAAAGCAGAGGCACUCUUUUCAGAGAGUUUUAGGUCCCGGCAAGAACUAGGCCUCACAAAAGGAACAGUUUCAUGUAGCAUCAGCAUGACUGAUUACUCAUCAGACUCCAAGCUAUAUGCACAUUCCUCUGAAAACAGGAGAGGACUCCAGAAGGCAAUUCAACCUACGACAGAGUAUGCUUUAAUCAAUCACAAACAAGAACUAGGAGCACCACAGAUCUUGCAUGCUUAAAUUAUGCUUAAUUAUAACAAGCAGCCUCCUAAACCAACUUCAGCGGCAUAUGAGAGAUGCAUCCAAACAUUAAAAUCAAGCAAAAUGAUUAUUCUUUCUCACACAUCGUGAGAUGCGUCGAAACAUUAAAAUUAAUCUUCAAAACAAACUUUUACAUCUCUUCACAUAAUACAAUUGCCUUAAUAACCCAAAAUGACACAUUUAAAAAACAAAAAGAAAUGAAAAAUAAGAAACACACCACAAAGCUAUCUGCACAUUCCUCUGAAAACAGGAGAGGACUCCAGAAGGCAAUUCAACCUACGACAGAGUAUGCUUUAAUCAAUCACCAAGAAGAAGUAGGAGCACCUCAGAUUUUGCAUGCUUAAAUUAUGCUCAAUUAUAACAAGCAGUCUGCUAAUCUCCCAAAUUUAGUGGCAUAGGUGGAAUGCGUCCAAAUCAAGCAAAAUGAAUACUCUUUCUCACACAGCGUAUCAUAAGUUAAAAGCAUGAGCACUGUUGCUGAAUGAACCGACCAAAACAUAUUUCCUAUCAAUAUACUGAAUACAAGAGAAGCAGAAAUUAUCCCAUGUUACUCAGCAAGAAAAGCUAAUUCACAGACCAUCAUGUUCCAACUUCCAACAACGAACUUCAUCUUCAUGCCUGCUUAAGUUUCAAAACAGACAUUUACGUCUCUUCACAUAAUACAAUUGCCUUAAGACACAUUAAAAAACAAAAAGAAAUGAAAAAAAAAGAAACACCCCACAAAGCUCUCUACUAGCAUCAUUCCACCCAGAAUACUUGAUGUCAGUUAACACUCAUUUGAAUACCGAUGUAACACUAAAUACCUGCGGGUUUAUAUUUCAUAAAGAAGCAAGCCAUGGUCCAUAGGAAGAAGAAAACAAAUCAGUAUCGAAAAAAAAAAGGCAUAUUCCCCAUUCAAACAACACAAUGAAAUAAAACUGAAGAUCCCGGCUCAUGAAUACUAGCCCAAACAAGCAACCUGCCUACGGGUACCAGAUGUCCAGAUCCCAUCACCAGGUACUCAGCUGAAACAAUCCGAACGCGAGCAACGAACUGCAAGGGGAGCAGGCCUCACUCACCUCCCGGUGGGGGGGCAGCGGCCGGAAGAUGGCUGGCGCCUGGCGGUGUCUCCAAGAAGGUGGGAGUGGGACGGGAGAGGUGGGGACGUGGAAAUAUAUAGAUACGUGGAGGGGUUAAGUGGCUAAAAAAUUUGGCGAGCGAAAUGUAAUAAGCGAGCAAGAAAUUCUCAAAGGCCACAAUAAAAAACGACUGGCAAGGCGCGCCGAGGAAAGCGCGAGGAUGGCAGCCCUCGGCCUGUCGCUGUAGCUGUCGCUGAAUCUUUCGAGAUGGGCCUGUUUGGAUGUUUAUGGUUUUUCAAGAUGGGCCUGUUUGGCUGUUUAUGGCCCGUAAAGGGGAUCCGUCUGGGCUCUUCCUUGUUCCUUCUGGGUCUCGGCGUCUCGCCCAUCCAUAAACCAUCCUGUGAAACUCACAGUCACACACAAGCUGCACCCUUGACUGCCCUAAAAUCUGUAUGUGCACAGCUCACACGUUUCUUUCAUUAUCAAAGCAUUAAUCGCGUCUACUAAAAAUAAGGUCAUGGAAUGAUCACUCCAUUUUCUUUGAAAUAAGUCAUAUCGUUUCAUGGAUCUUAAAAUGCCAGCAACCACAGGAAUAAAUGGAUAUUGUUUCAGAUUAACCAAGCAUCUGGAUGAGAGGCCCUGAAGAAUUUCGAUUGGUAUUUUCCAACAACAACACUCCAACGAACAAAUCAGAAGAUAUCUAUAAUGAUCACAUGCCGACAUGCGUAAUCUUUCGGAGUAUCAAACAGACCAAACAGGUCCCGAUCGUGUGAUGUUGCUUGUGAAGAAAGCUCUGGCCCAUUACAAAAAAUCGGUUCGUUUAUCUGAAAAAUUAUAGCUAAAAGUAUUAUUCGUUAAUUUAUUAAAAGAAAAAAUAUUAUUAAAUUAUUGGCAUAUUUAAUAAAUAAGCUCAAGUGGACAGGACCAAAGCCCUCAACUGAUCAGGUAAGUUUGAUGCAUGCACUUUGUGUAAGGACAAAGGACACGUAGGCCUGUCUGGAUUCUACUAUCCGGAUAAACACACACAGCUUCCCAACAGAGGGAACGGAGAAGGUGAAAAAUAUCUGAGCGUAAGAUUCUUGCAAUCUCAGGAUCCAUUGAAAGCUAGGAUCUUGUUUAGUUGCUGAAAAAAUUUAUAAAAUACUACUAUAACACUUCUGUUUAUAUUUGACAAUUAUUAUUUAACUAUAAAUUAAUUAGAUUUUAAAAAAUUAUCUAAUAAAUUACAGACGAACUAUAUAAUUAGUUAUUUUUUAUUUAUAUUUAAUGUUAUAUAUAUAUCGUAAGAUUCGUUGUAACGAGAAAUCUUAACAAGGCCUAGAUAAUGUCGGUUACUACUUCCCUUCAACGCGUGAAAAAGAUCGUGCUAGCCCCAUCUUAUCCUCUUCCACCGGCUCCUGCUAUCCAGCCGGAACCGGCCGGCCAUCAUAGCCACUACGCACCUCUCGGGUCAACAGGUUCGCCGCUCGGCGCCGCCGGCCUGACCCCAAUGACGCCGCCACUGCGCUCUGCGAUGCACCUCUUGCGAAAACGACGACGACGCUGCUGCUCCGCCCUUCCAGCGCCAACGACGGUGCUGCCACUGCCCGCCUAAAUGGCGCUGCCGCUCGCCGCCCGAGCUGGGCCGCUGCUGCUCCGCCCUUUUCCCUGAGUAGCGACGCCGCCUCUUCCCCCACAGACACGAGUCGGGCAUGAGUUAAGCUUGGUGGGCAAGAUCAGGUUAGGGGAAAAAAUCUGGGCAAAAGAAGGGCCAAAGAUGUAUGACGUGAGGGAGCCCUUUUUUGUUAUUUUUACUCGUUUUUUUUCUUGCAUCUUUUUUUUUGUGUGAAGAUUUUCUUGCAUCCUAUUCUGUUUAUGUAAACAUCAUUUAUAUAUAUAGAAUAAAUAUAUCUCUUGUAUGAGAAUAUUCAGUAUAUUAUUAUGAACAAUGCACCUAUUCUAACCCAUAAUCCCUGUUUAGGAUCUGGAUUACAUAUUUUUAUUAUCUGGAUCUAGAAUCUGGAUUCUAAAAUCCCUAUAAAGAAUUCCGAUUGCUAAAAUCUCAGUGGAUUUUUCCUUCUUCCUUUGUGUUUCAAAGUUUUAUGUUUAAAGUUAUUUCGAUCUCUUUGCUUUAGUUUGUAAUAAGAAACAACUACUUACAUUAUCCGAUGCAGAGACUAAGAUGUCAUUAUAUUCUAUUUUCAAAAAAAAAAAUCUCAGCGGUGUUCAAAAGGGACUGUGCGGUUAAAGAUUUUGAGAUAUUACUUGUAUGAUCUAAAAAAAUCCAUAUUUUUUGUAUGAUCUAUUUUUUAAACCUGAAAACAAAAACCUCUUCCUUCUAUACCCUAGUACAUCCUCUCUCUCUCGCACCAGCCUCUGCCCAAAUUUCAUCAUCACAGCCUCCACCAUCUCGGCCCGCAGCGAUCUCGCCGCCAGCCAUUCCGCCCAAAGCCCUCCCCCCUCCUCGAAAAUGUAAAUUGUGCUCCUCCACCUCUAGACCACCAACGUCCCACCUUGCCUUUGCCACGCUCUAGCGACCGCCACCGACGGUAACAUGGACUUCCCUCCGCCGGAUUCCAGCAACCCAGCUCCUGAAACACGAACCCCCGACCACCGGCCUCCCUCGGUCUCCCAGCACUGCAGGUUCUGAAUCUGGAAUUCUGGAGCGACCUUGACUUUAGCUGUCUCGCUUUAUGUUCCGCGACUUCCGGCCCCGUCCUAGACUUUCCGAGCCUUUCUCUGGCUUCUGUCGUGCAUUAUUUAUUAUCAGUGACCCUGAUGCCUGAUCGGUGCUGCAAGGCAAACUCCACUAGCGUUGUGGGUGGGUCCUUGGAAGAAACACAAACGGUGAUGGAUUCAACAAACCUUUUUAACGUGUCUAACUAUAAGCAUAGCUAGCGAGUGGCGACCAACGUACGUACAGUGACUAUUUUUCCUUCUGCAUUAUUAUGCUCUAUAAGUACUCUUGCUUCGUUUAACCCUAGACAAAAAACUUGUCCUGCUUAGGUGUUUGAUUUUGACCGCCAGAUUUGCUCCGUGCAGAUGAAAGUUGGGCAGUUGGGCUAAUUGUGCCUCACCUUAUAUUGUCCAAAUGUUCCAUGGCAGGCACGGAAAGUUAAAUCGUAAAUCCUGUGGAUGAAAGUUAGAAGAAGCCACUGCUGUAACGAUUUGCCUCUCACGAGUGGAUUAGUUCAACUUUUAGUCCUUUUCAGUGCCCGGUCUAUCGUGACGAGUCAAAUUUGGAACCGGUCCAAAACCAAAGUAUCGAUGAUCCGCACGGUUGCUCUUUGUUGCGGACACUCGUGUAUUUUGACAGAGUUUGGGGGGAAAAAAUGUGUUUGGACAAACAUUUCUUUUCUCGGAAAAAGUGGCGGAGCGGAAAUAUCAUCAUUUGUCGGUCUCAGUAGUACGUGCGUGCCUACGUGGUCCGUCCAUAGGAGUGCGCCGUGCCACGUGGCCUAUCCGCCGCCGUGCACGCGCUUCAGCGGUCGCGUCGCGUCUUGCCAAACGAUCGAGGUCGUGCUGUGUUUGUGCGUGCAGCCGUGCAGGCCGCCCAAGCCUGCUCCUCCAUGCAGAUUCCAGGCCUUUUUGGACACGCACGCGAUGGUCGAUGUUUCCCGGCGGCCGGCGCGCGCGGCGUGCUGACUGAAGAUCGCACAGCUCGCAAGUGACGUGCCGCGAGGCGAACCAGACAGACUCCAGGAGCUGGGUCGUCGCGCGCGCGAGCUCACGCCGCCGCCUCGUGCUCGCGUGGUGCGCGAGACGAACCGGUCUGCUUCCUUGCGCGCGGUUCACGCCGCAUGAACAGUGGGUAAAGGGUACUCACAAUGCAGGCUUUAUUAUAAAGUCUAAAGUUAUUUAUUACCUCGAACAAUGUGGAUUUAAAGUCUAAAUAAGACUUGGAGUCUUAUUUUUUUCUACCUCUUUCUUCAAUAAAUAUGCUGUCACAUCGGUAAAAUACAAUAAAUAACAUGUACUUAAUUAUCUUAGACUCUGUGAUAGAGUCUUGCAUUGUGAGUGCCCUAAGAGAAAUUUUACAGUGCUCGAGAAAAACUAGAGCCAUCCAUCUAAAUAGAUCGGAUGGUUAUAAAAUGAGAAGAGCCAAUAGAGAGGAACUUAAGUUGUGGGUCGGAACCUAUACUAAGUGGGCCAGGAACCAGUUUCAAAUUUUAAUCUGAAUGAUAGCAUAGUACCUUCAUCCAUCUCCCGUAUGUGUUAUCUUUCUCUGUUAUCGUAUCAUAGUCGUUUACAGGCCUGCUUGUUCGCCGCCACCGCCGCUGCCCAUCGCCAAACCUCUGCCGUGGCCGCGGCCGCCGCUGCGGUCACCCAAGAAAUCCCAACGCCGCAUUGCCGGUGGCCAAUGCCAAAGCAAGUAGGUGCGCCAACCAUGGCCGAGUAGACAUCAACCCUAGCUUGAGUCGUCCAAUCGUGGACCUGAACAACGGGUGCAGGCUGGUGUUGGCCUAUUGGGGGCGGUGCCACAGACUCGGCUUGGUAAUUGGCUCGAGCUAUCUUCGUAAGCUCAUGAGCUAUAGAGAAACUCAUGAGCUAUAGAGAAAAAAAAAAUUCACUUAGCAGAUAUCAACGUUCAGUCGCUCACGUAUCUUUGAUUCAAUAUAGUAAAUUAAGAAAAUUCCACUUUAAUGACAAAUCAACAAAUUAAUGAUUCAUGCAUGUAUCCUUGGUUUAAUGUCAAAAGUAAUCUAUUUUGAGAUCACAAAGCAAGAUCUGCAGAGCUUUCUGGGAGCGUCCUCUGCAUCUUGGCGCUCUCGGGGGCCGGCGGCGGCAGGCGCCGACGCGCAGCUUGCGUGGCCACAAGGGGUGAGCAACUGUGGACGAAAGCUAGUCGGCAGUCACCUUGGGGUAUACCACGGUAGUAGUUUAUCGGUAGACGCUCGAUGGUGACGCAAGACACGGACAAAGUUUUUAUCCAGGUUCGGCCGCCGUGUGGGCGUAAUACCUACGUCCUGCGUCUGAUUGUAUUGAGAUAAUAAUGUCUAUGACCUGUCCUUUAGGGGACCCCUGCCCCUCCUUAUAUAUCGUGAAGGGACAGAGUUACAAGUAAACUAUCCUAUUUGGUACAAUAUCUUGUAGCCUUGCGGUGCACGCUAACCAGCGUCGUGCGCCGCACGUCUUCAUCUUAUGAGCCGAGCCACCGUUGAUGGUGCGGCCCAUAUCAGUCCAUGAGGGUAUAGGGGUUUAUACUCCCACAGCAACCAACGAGGGUGUCGCUUGGGCUUGGGCGCUCGCUCGACAAGCAGGGUGGCGCCAGGUGGAGGUGUUGCUCCUGCUCGGCGGCUCAGUGCAGCGGACGCCGGCGCUCGUGAAAUCCUGCGUCGGGUACUCGCCGUCCGUCUCGGGGAUUUAGGGAGUUGUAGCCUUGUAAGAAAAGUACCUAACUACCCUUAAACAUAAUUAAUUAGUUUUUCGAAUUAUUAAUGGCUGCAAAUAAUUCUGAAGAGAGGAACCGAUGGUUCCUUCCAAGUACAGUAACAAACCUCGUGGGUUAAUACUUACUCCAUGCGUUUUGUUCCUGACGUUGAUGGCGUGCUCAUCAUCUUGGUUUUAUUUUUCAUAGCUGAGAACUACUCCGUACAAAAUAUAGAAAAAUUAGGCUCUAUUUAGUUUUUUAUGGAAUACAAAAAGUAAAAUGUCAACUGCUUUGAAAUAAUAAUGAUAAAAUAUAAAAUGCUAAAAUUUUCAGUGCUAUUUUAGUUCCAUUUAAAAUGCAGGAUUUGUUGGUCUCAUUAUGACCUCUUGAUACUCUUUUAGGUUUUUUUUUUUGACCUCUUGAGGUCAAAAUUUAAAAUGGAGAACAACCAUCUUUUUGUCAAAAAAUUUACAUGUGUUUAAUUUUAUUAAACAAAAAAAAGACUAAAACCAAGAUUUUUUUGGAUGAAAGGGAACUAAUUAAACACCCCCUUAUUACAUUUCAGUUGCCUUUUGUUUUGUUAUUUCCAUGAGACAAAAUGUGGCUUAGAUUCCAGUCUUCAGAUAACGACGACUCCCAUGCCUCGCUUGCAGAUUUAGAUUAGGCAUGAGCGCAUGAUGCGUGGUGUCUGGCUGUCUCUAACGUGCAUUGGGGACUACAGCAUGAUCGCCUAGAGGCAAAAGGAGGGGGGAAAAGAAAAAGAGAAAUGUAUGGUGGGCCGUUAAUAGACUUCAAUUGAGGCCGAGCCAUGACCUGCUCGCGCGGUCAGCCCGUUCGUUUCCUAGCCCCGAGUAGUGGAACAUGUCAUGCGCGCGCGAGCGAGCGAGCGAGAGGCGGACGGGACACAGUCCGUGCAAGCACGUACCCGACGAAAGCCAACCUUGUUGGAUCUUUUUUUCAUUAAAAAGAAGAGCCGAAAGAAAUGGCAGGUAACCGAUACAAUGAGUUCGCAAGUAAUCCAAGGAUUACCAUAGAAACCCAGAACACAAACAAAAGCAAGAAACAUGAGGGGGAUCCUCCACCUAACAACCCAACAGCUAAGCCAAAAACAAGAAGAACAACUCAAUACCUAGGUAGCCAGCAGUGUUCGGAGCCGCAACACAAAGGACAACUGACGGCCAUACAUCCGUCCCCACCUCUUCAACCUCAACGACCAACCCAGCCGGAGACGCGUCCUCAGUGGCAAAGCGAACCAACCGACGGCCAAGCAUCUGUCUCCACUUCAGCAACCUCGACGACCAACCCAGCCGGAGACGCGUCCUCAGUGGCAAAGCAACCAUCCGACGGCCAAGCAUCCGUCCCCACCUCAGCAACCUCAACGACCCACCUGCCGGAGAUGCAUCCUUGGUGGCAAAGCAACGCACCUCAGCGACAAAGCAUCCGCCGGGAACACCUCGGUGGCAAAGCAUCCACCGGAAAGAGCACAACUGCAGCUUCAACAAACACUAGCCAGCAAACCUGAGUGGAGAGCAGCAUGAAGCACGAAAAGGCUCGGCACGACGCUCGAGGGACGAUACGGGCAGCAGGCCACGCGUAGAAAGAACUUCGGCGGCAACGCCUUCAAGAAGGGAAGCGACGCGGGGAGCGCCGCCGUUGCCGGCCCAUACGGGCGAGGCGCCCUAGUUCCUUGCAACCAACAACCCCAUAAGGGACGAGCGCCGUCGGCCAAGGAGGGGUACGCAACGACAUAUGCCUCCAACGAGGAAAACGACGCCCCGAAGGCGUCGCCAUAGUCGGCCAGAAGGCACGGCUUUCGCCUAGCGCCACCCACUCGUGCACAGACCGCUCCAAAACGCCGACCACGCCGCCAUGACGCCGAAGGCGAACCGCUCGAACAUCUGCCCACAUCACCACGAUGCAGGGAGCGCACGAGGCGAGCCGGCCGCCGUAGCCGUCCGCCGCCAAGCAGAUGACCACCGCAGUCGUGGAGGGAGUGCCGAAGCCUUAGCAGCCGCCCCGAACGAGCCCAACCGUCCUGCACCCCACCCCGACCACGCCGGAGCCCAGACGGACGCCAGGCAGGCCGGCCAACGGAGGGAACAGGGGGAGUCGCGCCAGAUCAGAGGCCGGAGGCCCAGAUCCGGCCGUCACACAAGCCGCCGACGCCGGGGACAGGACGGGCAGGCCGGCGACGGAGGAGAACGGUGGGGGUGGCAGCAGCAGCAGAAAAGGGGGGCUGGGGGCCCAGAUCCGGCCGUCCCCCGGCCCAAGCCGCCGACACCCACCACCACGGAGGAGCCCGUUCGCCGAAGGACGGGUGGCUGGCGACCGAACCCGGAGCCGCUCCAGAAGCCCUCGUUGCCGAGGUGGAGGCCGAGGAAGCCCGGCGAGCAAGUGGUGGCGAGCGGAAGGAACACCUCCGGGCACAGCCGCGCGCACCCGUCCGUGGCCCUCAGCGCCUCCGCCUCCUCGUCCGUGAGCCGCGCGGCGAAGCCGGUGCUGCAGGCCCCUAGACCAACGGGGGAGGGGGAAGAAGGGGAGGGGGAGGAGCAGGCGCGGGCGGGCCGCCGCCGCCGCCAGGAGGGCGGCGACGGCGGAGCGACGCGGCGGAGGUUGGGAGCCGGGGCGGGGGUUUGGAGCUCUCGCGUAACAAGAAGAAAUUUUCAGUCUCAGUCUGAACUCUCCACCAGCUAACCUUGUUGGAUCCUUGUCGAUCGCGAGUAGCUAGGAUUCCUCCAUCUGUUUUAAUUUCCUACUACAACCAGUUGUCGACCAAUCAUCGACGCUGGAAUAAUUAACGCUCGAUCGAUCACCUGCUAAAGAUCUGCACGCCUACAUACGUUACGUCCGGUCCCAGUUUAUGCGAUCCGUUCAAACAAAUAAGAUCAAGAGUAUGCGUUGUUUUAAUUGGUAUAGUCGAUGAUCAAAGUCAACCGGCCGGGAGCUCUACAUCGGUACUAGCUCUUUGAUCCAUGUAUAGAUGAUGGACCGUGUCAAGACUCAAGACCCCCGAAACGAGGCAUCGAUCCAUGCAUCGCCCUCUGGAUCGCAUAUGCAUGCAUGCUUUGAUUGCGUAUUACUACUAGUAUAAUUUUUCAGAUGCUGUCGCGAUCUUGCGUCGGCAGCACGAGCACUGUACGUCUACGCGCGCGGCCGCACCAACCGGCGUCGUCGUCGUCGUCGCUGCCUGCAUGCUCACGCACCCGUGGGUUCACACGGCUUUUGUCCCACCGGUCGGUCAGGGUCUUUAGGCCUUUAGGGACUCGACUCGAUCGAUCGGGGUCACGGCUCGGAAUUAUUGCUACUCCCUCACAGCAGGCUGCAAGUCAUCAUGCUGGAUUGCUUGGUGUAGCAUAUAUAUAGCGGCUAUAUACUAGUAGAAGCAGCACCAGCACUGCUACUCUGCUAGUUUAUGCUCGACCACACCAGACCUUCCGAGAGCGAGCGAGACCGUGUGUGCGUGUAAAAGUACUCGCUUCCCCGUCACUGCAAAAUUAUUGCCGCCAUGUGCGUGCGCACGCACCGCCGCACCGGACGGCGCGCGGUAACAUUCCGGGCUCGCCAACCACCGCGCAGAAUCAUGCAUGCACACAUGACGGUGCCGUCGUAAAUUUAAAUUAAAAACGAUUAUUACAACUUUAUAAACCACAGUACGUCCACAUAGGAGCCAAAUUCGAAAGAAAAUCAACGCUACAUAAACGUACCCCAGAUGAAAAGUAAUACGUGCACGUGCAACUUAUUUGUUUUAAUGGAAGUAAAAUGUGAUUUUGCGAAGUAUUUUAUUUAAGGUAUGGUAUUAUUAGCAGCAGGUAAACAAAAGGGGCGAACAUGGCAAUUAAGAACCAGCACGGAGGACGGGAUCAAUGCUCGUUACGUAGUAGUACUACGCCACUAGGAAACAUCUCCGUCCGUGUUUGCCGGAGUCUCCCGACGGCGGCGGCGACCACCGGCUGAGAGUAAUUUUACCAGCUAAUCGUAAUCGGCAGCCUCGCCCCCAGCUUAAUCUAAUCCCAGACUCUGCAUUCAAAAUCGGCGAGACCCCUUGGCGUGACACUGAUGACACGGACCGCCAGGACCCACGGGCCACCGCCAGCCUUCGUCUCCACGCCUGCGACGUCACGGGGGGCGGGGUACCACGAUCCCCUGCGCCGCAGCAGAACAGCGUCGGCGCGCGCGACCAGCGCCCCACCGCGCGCUUUGCCGUUUGCGACUUGCGAGCGGGAGCGUCGCGGUGGAUAAGAUCCGGUGGGGGCGGGGUCUGCGCCGUCUGCGCGUAGUAGUGGUGGGGCCGAGGAGCGGGUGGUCGGUGGGGCCCGCUUGGCGGUGUGCGAAGGAGAGGCCUCCGCUCCGCACGUUUGACCCUGACGACGCCACGUGGGAGAGGCCAAUGGUCCGACGUGGUCAGCGGCCAGGAACAGGUACAGGACGCCGGGACGCAAUGCGGCCUGUGUUUUAUUCCGCUGUGAUAAAGGAAAAUCAGGCCUCGUUUAGUUUGCAAAAUUUUGGUUUUUUUUUUUGCUACUGUAGCAAUUUCGUUUUUAUUUGACAAACAUUGUCCAAUCACGGAGUUAUUAGGCUUAAAAGAUUCAUCUCACAAAUUUCAGAUAAACUGUGUAAUUAGUUUUUAUUUUUGUUUUUAUUUAAUGCUCCAUGCAUACGAUCAAAGAUUCGAUGUGACGGAGAGUCUUGAAAAUUUUUGCGAACUAAACAAGGCCUCAGUUUUCCCACUAGUUGUUUUAGAGACUUGAUGUUUAUUAAGGCCUUGUUUGUGUUGGAGUGGAUUGGAGUGGAAUUUAGUUUAAAUUCUACUAUAACCCACCCCAACACAUGUGGAUUGAUGCGAAUUCGACUACAUCCAAACAAAGCCUAAUAAGUUGAGGUAUAUCAUACGAAAGUUUAGACAAGAUUUGCAUAGAAUCUCUAACAUUGAAUGACUUUCUAGUGAUGCAUGUUCAACAUUCUGUUUGCACAUCAACGGUCAAGAGAAAACAACGCACGUAUGAUGAAAAAAAAUUGGUGAACCUUUAAAAGCGGCACAUGAAAGUAUAUUUCAAUAGAUGAUGAUUAAGGAUAUCAAUGCCAAAAUUAAUUGUGGACUUAUGCUGGACACUACUGUCAAUGACAAAGCAUCUAUCGCGUGGGAAGAAGGAGAAGGCGUGCGAGAAAGAGCCGCCUCAUGUGUGGGAACGAUUCGCUAGCGCACGUGGUAAGAUUCGCUAGCGUGCGCAGAGGCUGUAUGGCAAGCUGCAGGACAUGGAUAGCUAGCUAUCCAAUUUGGAUUUUUCGUAGUAAUAGCUAUAUUUAUAUUUAGAAAACAAUUUACCUAGUCCGUUGGAGAUGUUCUAAAUCACUAGAUAUGGAUAGUUAUUUUGACUAAUCUCUUAGAGAUGCUUUUAAUCUCGAGAUCAACCAUCUACGUGCGAAAAAACUUUCUUCAUUGUCUUUGCAAUAAUAUUAUUUGAAUAAUAAAUAAUAUUGAUAAUUGUCACUCGAGAAUCAUGUCUGAGUAGUGUCGUAUUUGUAUUUGUAAUUUUUAUGUAACCUAAGGGAGCAGACGUACUUGUCUAUUUUUGUAUGAUGUCUCAUGUCUUAAUUAACGUAUGAUGUUACUCUUUCUAGCAUUUUCUAGAAAUAUACCUAGAUCGUCGAUCUUAAACUUAACUAAUCACACCGCCGUCUUAUGUCUCCUAACAUCAAUAUAUAUUAUGUAUCACAUCCUCUCUCAUAACUUUUGAAACCAUUUCCUGUAUUUAUGCCUUACUCAAAUAAGGUUUGACAUCAAUCAUUGUCCAUCUUUGCUACUUAGCUCCAUAUGUUUCUAUGCCAAUAUUAGAUUGCAAUCUUAUUGCUUCAACUCCAUUUCAUGCCUUAUGGAUAUACAACAAUUUACUAUAUAAUUCCUCUCUUGGAGUACCAUCCAACAACUCCUUUCUUCCUAUGACUUAUGAUGCUACUAUUACUCAAUCCUCGUCCUAGGUGACUGAAUCCUGCCAAUCUAGAUCUAAUAUUGAGGGGCACUAAUAAAAGGUUAGGGUUGACGAAUGUCAUGCUUUUUUAACGUUCAUUUCUGACAACUCUCUACUAAUCUAAGGUUAUAGGUCUGUACAAUCUUGCCUCUUUUUUUCCUUUCUGCAUUAUAGAGUCAGAUUACUUUGCUAUGAUUGGACUGGGCAAAAAGGCACGAUUAAAUCACCCUCCAAAGUGUAUUUAAUUUUGCAAAUAUUCAUCUAUUAUUUAUCAUGAGAAAGUACUUAUAAUAUGGCCUUGUUCACUUUCCAAAAAAAAUUGUAUUUUUUUAGAUUAUCCGUCACAUCAAAUCUUGCGGUACAUAUAGAACAUUAAAUAUAAAUAAAAGAUUUGCACAGUUUAUCUGUAAUUUGUGAGACAAAUAUUUUAAACCUAGUUAGUUCAUGAUUGGACAAUAAUAUUUAUCAAAUACAAACGAAAAUGUUACAAUGUUCAUUUUGUAAUUUCUUUUGUAAAUAAACAAGGCCUAUAUAGAAGAGAAAAAGGGAAAUAAACUAUCCUGUCCAUUGAAAGUUCCCUCUAGUGUCAUUCACCAAACACCAAAUAGGCAUCCCGACGAAAAGGGAAAUUUCAUCACGCUUUAGAGACAGGAACCAAUAGCUCUCCUCUGCCAAAGUCGUAAAGAUAGAAUAUAAACACGCACGAACAAAGACAAGGUCAUAGUAGUAUUGUUACCUACAAGAAACAAAAAAUAAAAACAAAAAGGAGAAAAAGAAAAUACUAGGGAAGCGUAGCAAGCAACCAGGCAAGGGGGGCUCGAGCCAACAACCGAAUAGAGAGAGCCGAAGCAGAGGACACACUCACCACAGGCGCAGGCAAGGCCGCAUAGACGGAGCAGAGCAGGUAGAGGAGAGAGGCGGCGUCGCGGCGAGGUGGGAGAGAGAGAGAGAGAGAGAGAGAGGAGGUGAAGGUGCGUGGGUAAAAAAGAGGAAACAAAAAAGAAAACGAGCGAGGCAGAGAAAACACAAGCAAACAGACGACAGCAAAAAUAGGAGGUCGGAGGCGACGAGCGGGAGGCGGAGGCGAGGAACAACGUGAAUAAAAAUUUUAUUCGGAGAAACAAGGGAAGCCGGGGGAUCGCGUCGGAAUUCCGGCGAAUCGGCGGGAUCCGGCCGGGAUCUGCGCGCCGGAUGAGGGGUUGGCACCAUGAAAUGGUCCACAUUGCUCAGUAAGGUCGUCUUCGCCGCCGGCCAGCAGCAGGAGCAGCAGCCGCCGCCGCCCCCGCCGCCGCCGCCGGGGUCGCCGUUACACCGCCAGCAGGCGGUCCAGGACCUCGCCACCCCGAGGCUCAGCUCCGCCUCCACCGGCGGGGACGAGGGCGGCUUCGACGCGGCGGCCGGGAGCUCGCCCUCUGCCGCCGCGUCCCCUGCCAGGUGGGUCCCCCAGCCGAGUCAAACGUCUCUCUACUGGCCUCGCGUUGCCUGAAUCAAAUCCGGUGUCUGGUGAUGCAUGGCCAGCUCCGAUGCGAUCCCGUUACUCCUGUUUUCCGGGUUUAGCAAUGGCAAUCGGAUUUAGAUUCGGAGAGGGUUCGAUCGCAGAUGCUUGCUUCUCCGUUUCAUCUUCCUGUCUCUGGCUGUUUGGUGAUUUAGUUGGUAGAUGUGGAUUAUGUGUUGUAUUAACGUUUUGACUCAUAGGAUUGAUAUCAGUGAAUGUUUUUUUAGCUCGAGCUUGGCGAUAGUGCUGCAGUUAUUUUGGUUUUGCUCUUAUGUUGAUCAUAGACGAUGACGGUGUCUUCAGAGGAAAUGAUACUGGACUAGGAUGGUGGUGCCUUGGAGAGAAAUGAUGCUGGACUAGGACGGUGGUUGGGCGAGUCGGUAGCUGCAUAGUCAAUUUUAUGAUCUGUAUGCCAUGCCUGAAGGCUACGGCCCUUGUCCUUUUGUUUGUUGUGCUUUUGUAGAACAACGGGGCUAAUGUGUUUUUGCAUUUCUCGUAGCAGAGAAAGUGGAAAUUUUAGCAAUCUUGAUUGGAGUCAACUUUAUGAGUCUGGUUUGCUUGAUUUGUCGUUUUAUGUUUGAACUGGGAUGUUAUAAGAUUAUUGUGGCACAUGCCAUUCUAAGGUGGUGUGAAGUUUGAUUGACUGUGUUGCAUUGUUUCUCAAGUUACCGCGCUGCUAGGGAUACACUCCUUCAUUGUUUUUUUUAGAUGUCCUUUGUUAGAUACUUCUAAUGAUGGUUGUUGCUACUACUACCAUAUUCUCUGUGACCCCCUUCUGCUGCACAGUCACUCGCAUUGGCUGCACAGCAGCUGAUGAGGGUUGCUAUGCCAUCAAUCUUUGAUUAAACAUGGUUUAGCUGCUUUGGACCCAUAUCACAGAGAUUGUAUAUAUAAAAGAGAAGAAGAUAUCUAGUUUACUGGGGAAUGGAGACUUGUAAGCCAUACAUGCUUAACUUUUGGUCUGGAUUUACGAUUCCUGUUUGUUCAUUUUUUCUAUUGCCAUUGCUGCAGUGUUUGUUAAAUAGCAUAUUAGCAUUACAGUACCAUGAAAGAACAGUGACUUACCCUGUUCUAAAAAAAACAGUGACUUAUCCUUUGCCUGAACUAACUAUAUAAUCACUUGGUAAAGGAACAAAUACUAUGGUCAUGAUUGUUAGUUAAGUAUGUUAUCAGUUAUCUUUUCUUGGACACUGUAUAGCACUUGGACCUGAUAACAAAAGUCUGUACCUCUUAUAGUAUUUUUUUCUGCCAAUAUCUUCAAGCUAAUUUAUGUAUGUGUAUGGAUUGCAUUCUCACAUAGGUUAAGUUCCUGUAUUCUAGCUUUCAACAAUUAAAUCAAGAAUUUAUGUCCAUUUCAAAUAUUGAUUAGGAGUUUGGUUCUGCUAUUUUAAGUGAAUAAUAUAUGCUUCUGCAAAAAAUAUUUAUGUUCCCCAUCUUAACCAAGGAUGCAAGUGGGUCUCCAAUGGUGUUUUGUGGGUCAGCUAGCUGAGUUCAUGUCUCCCCUUCAAUUAAUUAUGCGGCAUGCGAUUCUAGUUCAUUGUAGCAAGUUUGGGUCGACCCAAUGACCCAACACAUCCCUAAUCUUAACAUUAUUUUUUUUUGUACGCAGGGGCAAAAAUGAAUUGGAGUCAGACUUUAGGAGAUUAUGGGAAGAAUUUCGCUCUUCCAGCUCUGAAAAGGUACACUGACACUUGUUUUAUUUUUUUCACCAUAAAUCAAUAAUAAGACCUUGUGAGCUGGUUCUUGCCUUGACAUUGUAUUCUGUUUUCCCUCUGCAGGAGAAAGAAAGGGCCUUAAAUUUGGCUGUAGAUGUCUUCUGUAGGCUAGUGAAGCAAUAUUCUAGUGUAGCUCAAUUAGUUACAAAGUAUGACUCUUUACAAUUGCACACACUACUUUCAAUAAAUUAUGCUGUUACAUUGCAUUUAUUUCAGUGGGUUCAUGUAUACUCUCUAUUUUAGAAAACUGAAUAAUGGUCUUCUGUUUCUUUCCUUCAUAAUUUCUACAGGUUAGUAGAAGGACAUGUUUUUUCUUUUGUUAUUGGAAGAGCUUUUGUUACUGAUUUGGAGAAACUAAGAAUCCAUAGCAAAGGAAGAUCACUGCGUGUGGCUGAUGUUAUUGGCUUCUUUUCAGAUACCACAGAGGUUUGUUCUUAUAUUAUUAUCUAGUGCAAUUUCUGGUUCCAGGAGGCCAUGCACUCUCUAAGUCUUAACUCGUUGGUUCCAUGAUCCAGCUUGGUAUAUGUCCAGGAUCAAAUUUGUUGUAUGCAGUCGAAGUUCUUGUGACAGAGGUUAGUGAAAUUGCUAUAAUAUGACAACAAGAAGUCCAUUUUUCAUGCAGUAUAUUGUCUGUUAUUGCAACGUUUAUUAAAGCAUACUAUUAAUGGUACUAAGAAGCAAGAGGCAUCUGUUUCCUGAGUUCUGACACAAUUAAUAUCCAAGUGUAAUGGGGGUGUCCGGUGGUUCAUGGAUAAAAAUUUACUUAGCUAUGGACUUGCUUGCUGAUAUUAUAUUUCCUAUCCAAUAUGAAACACAGUUUACCAAACGUUUAAACUAACAAGCAUCUCUUGUCAUGUUUAAUUUCAUGGUUACAGACAAAUGAUAAGCAGCCUCUGUUGGACUCUGGUAUUUUGUGCUGCCUUAUAUAUAUCCUCAAUUCUCUAUUGAGUCCCAAUGAGAACUCCACAAAUACCUUGCCUGUUCACCAAGAAGGAUCGAUAAUUGAGAAAAACAAAAAUUUGGAUCCUAUGCAAUCACGACGGCUUGAGGUAAUCUCAAUCUUCUGAUUCUCAUAGAAACAGGGCCUUAUUUGCAAGAAUGUACUGUUGACAUCCACAAAAUCGUAAAUUGUUUAACAUAGGGUUGUUGCUUUGUCUGUAUUAUUACACGUCUUUUGCUUUGUGUUCAUAUAUGUUAUAUGGUAACUAUAUGCCUUCCCUUCAUUUUCUCCUUGUCAACCUGGGGUUUUGAUCUUUAUUCUUUUUUCUGUUCUAUGGAGAUUGAGGGAAGCGUGAUACAUAUAAUGAAAGCAUUGGCGAGCCAUCAAUCUGCUGCACCAAGUUUAAUUGAAGAUGAUGCCUUGCAAGUUCUUUUCCAGAUGGUUGCAAAUGGUUCAUUAUCUGUGUUUUCACAGUUCAGGGAUGGUAUUGUUCCCCUUCACACAAUUCAGCUCCAUCGCCAUGCGAUGCAGGUAAUUUGAAACUAUGUAACAUUAUGUUUUGGAGGGUCAUGUUUCUGCUGCACCAAUAGUUGCUAAAUAUAUUGAGUUCAUAACUGAACAGGUCCUUGGUCUUCUUCUUGCAAAUGACAAUGGGACUUCUGCAAAGUACAUCAGGAAGCACCAGCUGGUACAUUACCAUCUGUUCUUUAUUGUGGACGAAAUGUUGUCCUGUUCUUGGGUCUAGUUAGGAUUCUUCACACUAAAGUACUAAACAGCACAUAGCAAUGUAUUCUUAGUUAUUCAAUCUUCACAAACAAUAGCUGUUUUCACUUGGCUAAGAUUAGAAGUUUAGAACAUAAACUCUUGAAAAGUGGGAAAAUCUUCACUGAAGCACCUUGGUAUUUCAUUUAGGCAUUUUUUCUGACAUAGACAUCCUUUUUGGACCCCCAGCUAAAUCCUGGUAACUGUGCUACCAUUUACCAAAGUUCUGUUUUCUCUCCCUUUUCUCAUCUCUUUUCAAGAAUAGUCACUGGUGGCAUGCCAGGGUUCAACCCCUUCCCGCUGGGGUGUUGGGCAUCUGGUAGCAGUUCCUUUCUAUUAUUUACUGGAACACCUAGUCUUUUGCAUAUAUUUCUAUUCAAUCUUGUUAACCCUUUCUCCACCAUGUCUUUUAGAUUAAGGUACUUCUUAUGGCUGUGAAAGAUUUCAAUCCUCAGAGUUGCGAUGCUGCUUACACCAUGGGCAUUGUGGAUUUAUUACUGGAAUGUGUUGAGCUGUCAUACAGGCCUGGUUAGUAUUGAUGAACUUUGCCACUCAUGCAUUUCUUCCGAGUAAGAUGCUUUGAUUCAAUAUUUUUCAAAGUUUACAAAUUAUUAAAUAAUUUUCUUUUGUUUGUGUGGUUCUGGUUGUGUUUCCACCUAUAGCUUAUCGUUGCUUGGUAUUAAAUACUUUGUUGCCAUACAAUUUGAACGAUCACUAUUGUUGUGUGCCUAAUAUCUUAAUAUUUGGUUUACUUUGCAGAGUCUGGAUCCAUAAGGCUGAGGGAAGACAUACAUAAUGCUCAUGGUUACCAGUUCCUUGUUCAGUUUGCUCUAACGCUUUGUAGCUUACACAAAAAUCAGACUCUCCAAUCCUCAUCCAAGUUAGCAUCCGAAGAGGAUGCAUCCUUUCCUUCUGACAGAUUAGAACAAGAUGUAUUCUCAUGUGACCUUUCACCUCAGUUGUCUAGGUUGCUUGAUGUUCUUGUAAAUUUGUCACAAAUUGGCCCCUCAGAAAAUGGUGGUGGUAAGAGUUUAAAAUCUUCUCAUGCGAAAGGAACGGGGCACAGCAGAAGCCGAACUCCUUCUGCUGACAAGUUUGAUGACUUGAUGGAAGUUAGUAGCCCCAAGGUAAAAGAUCUUGAUGCCAUUCAGAUGCUACAAGAUAUUUUUCUGAAGGCAGACAACUUGGAAGUGCAAGCUGAAGUUCUCAAUAGAAUGUUCAAGAUUUUCUCAAGCCAUCUUGAAAAUUACAAGCUAUGCCAACAACUACGUACUGUUCCUCUUUUUAUCCUAAACAUGGGCAGCUUCCCUGCAGCACUACAAGAGGUCAUCUUAAAAAUAUUGGAAUAUGCUGUCACUGUAGUAAACUGCAUUCCAGAGCAAGAGUUGUUGUCACUUUGUUGCUUAUUGCAACAACCAAUUUCUACCAGUCUUAAGCAUACAGUGCUUUCGUUCUUUGUAAAGCUACUUUCCUUUGAUCAGCAGUACAAGAAAGUUCUUAGAGAAGUUGGUGUCCUGGGGGUAUUGUUAGAUGACUUGAAGCAAAACAAGCUUUUCUUUGGAGAUGAGCAGCAAAAUAAGGCCUUUGACUCUACAGAGAGGAUGUCUAAUGCAACUAGAUUUCAGAGGACAGUGGACAACAAAGAUGCAAUUCUUUCGCCAAAGUUAAUGGCUUCUAGUUCUGCAAAAUUUCCCAUGUUUGAAGAUGAAGGGACAAUUACUGUUGCUUGGGAUUGUCUUUUUUAUCUGCUGAAAAGAGCUGAGCCUAACCAGCAAUCAUUUCGAUCAUCCAAUGGUGUCAACAUCAUUCUUCCUUUCUUGGUAUCCGAAAGCCACAGAUCUGGUGUAUUGCGACUAUUGUCAUGCCUAAUAAUUGAAGAUUCUCUUCAGGUUUGUGUUUGUAGCUGACUAUUCCAUAUAACAAACCAUUUUUCUUCUGUAAAUUUUUGAGGGCAUUCAUGGUUCAGCUGCUGCUGCUCCACCAGCAACAGCUACAUUAAUGCACAGCUGUGGAGCUGCAGCAGCAGCCACAGCCAGCUGAACCAAUUAGCCCAUUAGUGUAGGGCCAGAAAUGUUGAAUUCUCUAAUUCAUUAGUCUUGGUCGAGCACUUAUGCAAGUUGAAAGACUUCAUUUUCCUAUGCGCACUGUAUAUUUUCUAAUCAUGCCUAGUGAUUUUAUUAGCAGCAUGCUUGCGAACUUGACUUAAUUGACAUGAGUACUGUUUUCAGGCUCAUCCAGAAGAAAUAGGGUCAUUGAUUGAAAUUUUGAAGAGUGGGAUGGUAUCAACAUCAUCUGGUUCUCAGUUUAAGCUUGAAAAUGAUGCAAAGUGUGAUACAUUUGGUGCUUUGUGGCGGAUUCUUGGGGCAAACAGCUCAGCACAAAGAAUAUUUGGAGAAGCCACUGGAUUUUCCCUGCUGUUGACGACACUGCAUACUUUCCAGAAUGACAGUGAAAAUGAAGAGACCGAAUCAUCUUUGCAUACUCAUAUGAAGAUCUUUGGUUUUCUAUUGCGAGCAAUGACAGCUGCAGUAUGCAACAAUUCUGUCAAUAGGAUAAGGCUGCAUACAAUACUGUCGUCGAACACUUUCUAUGAUCUCCUCUCUGAGUCUGGGCUGCUUUGUGUGGAUUGUGAAAAACAAGUUAUUUUGCUUUUGCUUGAGCUUGCACUUGAGAUUGUUCUCCCGCCCACGAGUAACCUGCAGGUAGAGAGCAUUUCUUCUGAAACCUCAGAGGAUGAAUUGAGCUUCUUGUCUGCAACAUCGUUUGGACUUUCAAGGCUUGACAAGGAGCGUGUGUACAAUGCUAGUGCAAUUGUUGUGCUGAUCCGUUGUUUGCUGGUAUUUACACCUAAAGUUCAACUUGAGUUGCUGAGAUUCAUUGAGAAGCUAGCAAUUGCUGGUCCCUUCAACCAGGAGAAUUUAACUUCUGUUGGUAUGGGCAAAAGAUAUUCUUGCUACCCUUUUUCUUUUGAUUCAUUUUGACAAGGGCACCUUAUGUUUUUGUUACUCUUUUAUUACAUAGGAUGUGUUGGCCUUCUACUUGAGACAAUCAGCCCAUUUUUGGAGGGUUCCUCUCCUAUUCUUAAUCAUGCCUUGAGAAUUGUUGAACUGCUAGGUGCUUACAGGUUUGUCAUAUCUCAUAAAAUUCCAUGUGUUUCGUUGCAACAAUUUUGUUUUGUUGUUUCACAGUACAUGGUUACUCUUUUCUUGUCCAGGUUGUCUUCGUCUGAGCUAAGGCUUCUUGUGAGAUAUAUUCUUCAGCUGAAAGUGAAGCGUUCAGGUCAUCUUUUUGUUAAUAUGAUGGACAAGUUAAUUCAAAUGGAAGAUGUCAGACAAGGACAUGUUUCUCUAGCUCCUUUCAUUGAAAUGGACAUGAGCAAAGCCGGUCAUGCAUCUAUUCAGGUUUCAUUAGGAGAAAGAACAUGGCCACCUGUUUCUGGGUAUUCCUUUGUUUGCUGGUUCCAAUUUCAGGACUUCUUUAAAUGCCAACCGAAGGAAGCAGAAAAAGCGUCAAAAGGGGGAUAUAGCAAGAGGAGUGGGCAUGUUUUACGCAUAUUUUCUGUGGGUGCAGUGGACGAUGCUAACACUCUGUUUGCUGAGCUUUAUCUCCAUGACAAUGGUGUUUUUACUAUAUCUACAGGCAGUUCAAGUUCAUUGUCAUUUCCAGGCAUUGAAAUGGAAGAAGGAAAAUGGCAUCAUCUUGCUGUCGUUCAUAGUAAGCCAAAUGCACUAGCUGGGCUUUUCCAAGCAAGUGUGGCUAGCCUGUAUCUUGAUGGAAAGCUGAGGCACACAGGCAAGCUUGGAUACUCGCCAUCCCCAUUUGGUAAAUCUUUGCAAGUAACACUUGGUACGCCUACUAUACGUGGGAAAGUUUCUGACUUUUCAUGGCGGCUCCGGUGUUGCUAUCUUUUUGAGGAGGUCUUGACACCAGGGAGCAUUUGUUUCAUGUACAUUCUUGGACAAGGGUAUCGGGGUUUGUUCCAGGACAUUGACCUUCUGAGAUUUGUCCCAAACUGGGCCUGUGGUGGGGAGGUAAUGGCAAUUCUGGAUUCAUUAGAAGUGGAAGUUCCUGCACCUUCAAGCAGCCAGCGUGUUGACAGUUCAAUGAAACAAGGAAGCUCUAGACUUGAGAGCAGUGGAAUUGUUUGGGACAUGGAACUUUUAAGAAAUCUCUCCUUACAAUUGUCUGGGAAGAAGCUUAUAUUUGCAUUUGAUGGAACUUCAUCAGAUGCUUUUCGAGCAUCUGGUACUCUUUCGCUGCUGAACCUUGUCGAUCCAACUUCUGCUGCUGCAUCCCCUAUAGGAGGUGUGUAAUGUCAUCUAGCUAUUGAAUUUAUAUUUUCUGUUUUUGAAUUGGAUAUGCCAGAAUUCAACUAGUUAUGUUAACAGGUAUACCAAGAUAUGGGCGGCUAAGCGGUGAUGUUUACAUUUGUAAUCAAUGCACAAUUGGUGACACUGUUCAAACAGUUGGUGGGAUGCCUGUGGUACUUGCCCUUGUUGAAGCUGCUGAAAGUAGGGAUAUGCUGCAUAUGGCGCUGGAGCUGCUUGCACUAUCUCUUCAGCAGAGUCAUCAAAAUGUAAAAAACAUGCAGGCCUUGAGGGGUUAUCAUCUUCUUGCGCUUUUUCUUCAUAGGAGAAUGUCACUAUUUGAUCUGCAAUCUCUUGAUAUCUUCUUUCGUAUUGCUGCUUGUGAGGCUUCCUUUCCUGAGCCACAGAAAUCAAAGAUAAAUCGAACAGCAAGCUAUGCGUCUGGAAUGUCCCCAGAGGCCAGCCUUGAUGAUCUUACCUUACCCAAGUUUGGCGAUGACAUGUCUUCUGGUGGAUCGCAUGGGGAUCUAGAUGACUUUUCAGCUCAAAAGGAUUCAUUUAGCCACUUGUCUGAGCUGGAGAAUGCUGACCUAGCUGGUGAGACUUCUGAAUUCAUAGUCUUGUCAAAUGCUGAUAUGGUUGAACACAUUCUUUUGGACUGGACGAUAUGGGUUGCUGCUCCUAUAUCAGUGCAGAUAACUCUUCUUGGGUUUCUUGAGAGGAUGGUGUCCAUGCAUUGGUUCAGAAAUCACAACCUUACAAUACUGCGCCGAAUUAAUCUUGUUCAACAUCUUCUUGUUACUUUACAACGUGGUGAUGUUGAAAUUCCUGUGCUGGAGAAGCUAGUUGUGCUUCUAGGUGUCAUCCUGGAGGAUGGUUUUCUAGCUUCUGAGCUGGAGCUCGUCGUAAGAUUCAUAAUAAUGACAUUUGAUCCUCCAGAGCUUACACCGAACCGCCAGAUUGUGCGGGAGGCUAUGGGAAAGCAUGUUAUUGUGAGGAACAUGUUAUUGGAAAUGCUUAUUGAUCUACAAGUUACCAUAGAUGCCGAAGAAUUGCUGGAGCAAUGGCAUAAAGUUGUUUCAUCCAGAUUGGUCACAUAUUUCCUUGACGAAGCAGUACAUCCAACUAGCAUGAGAUGGAUCACGACUCUUUUAGGAGUUUGCCUUACGUCAUCAACUACAUUUGCAUUGAAGUUCCGUACAAGUGGAGGCUUUCAAGGAUUGAAUCAUGUGCUUCCAAGCUUUCACGAUUCUCCAGAAAUAUACUAUAUAUUGUUCUGUUUGGUGUUUGGGAAGCCUGUUUAUCCUCGAGUGCCAGAGGUCCGCAUGCUUGAUUUUCAUGCUCUCAUGCCUAGCGAUGGAAACUAUGGAGAAUUGAAGUUUGUGGAUCUAUUGGACACUAUAAUUGCAAUGGCAAAAGCUACAUUUGUUUCCUUGAUUAUGAAAUCUAUGCUUGCACAUGAGAAUAACAAUCUUUCACAUCUUAAUGGCACCUUGGUCGCGGAUCUUGUUGAGGCGACAUCGGACAUGGGAGGUGAUCUUCAAGGAGAAGCUCUGAUGCAUAAGACAUAUGCAGCAAGGUUAAUGGGUGGUGAAGCAGCAGCACCUGCUGUUGCUACUUCAAUAUUGAGGUUCAUGGUUGAUCUGGCAAAGAUGUGCCCACCAUUCUCUGCUGUUUGCAGGCGACAUGAUUUCCUAGAGAGCUGUGUUGAUCUCUAUUUCUCUUGUGUGAGGUUUGUACAAUGUGUCAAUGUGCAUAUAUCAUGUUACUUGGUGUUUUAAAUGUUUAUAUUAAGCCUUGUUUUGUUAUGUAGGUCUGAUUGUGCCCUGAGGAUGGCAAAAGAUCUUACAACUGCUGCAACUGACGAGAGGAAUGUACAUGAUGAUGACAAUGGAAGUUCAAAGGAUGCAUUUUCAAGUUUACCACAUGAUCAGGAGCAAUCUUCCAAAACGUUGAGUGUCACAAGUUUUCCUCAGGAGCAGAAAAGUUCCAGUUCAGAAAGUACUGGCAUGCCAAACUCUUUCGAAGCUGCUGAAGCCAAAGCAGAUGAUUCUUCGAAUCAGGAGCUCAGCACUAUUAUUUUAAACGGAGAAGCAAACCAAUUGUUUACUAAUGCUCAUGAUCAAGGGCAGACCACAGCUUCCAGUGCAAAUGGCAUUGCUGAACACCACCAUGUAACUGAUUCACCCAACUCGGUUGCUAUGAAUAAUGUUGGAUCUCCUGUUUUAUCCGAGAGGUCAACCCACAGAGCAGCGAGUACCCCUACUGCAUCUCCAAUGGCCCCAUUCACAUCUUGGCCUGGCAGUGCAGGAUCAUAUAGUGAUGGUAGACACCUGACAGCUUCUCCAUCCAUGGCUUCAUCUAUGUCUGGGAUAGACCUGGACUCGUCCCCUGAUCCGAGGACAAAUAUUCAGGGAUCAUCUGCCGUUAAUACCUUUUUCCCAAUCAAUUCGAAGCUUUUGCUUGACAUAGAUGAUUUAGGUUAUGGGGGUGGUCCAUGCUCUGCAGGAGCUACAGCUGUUCUAGAUUUUGUUGCUCAAAUCCUUGCUGACACUAUCUCAGAUCAACUUAAAGCAGCACUCUUUGUUGAGAACAUUUUGGAGUCUGUGCCUUUGUUUGUUGAUGUUGACUCUGCUCUGGUUUUUCAAGGCUUGUGCCUAAGCAGAUUGAUGAACUUCCUUGAAAGAAAGCUCUUGCUUGAUGACGAAGAAGAUGGGAAGAAACUUGACAAGAGCCGCUGGUCUGUCAAUUUGGACCCACUUUGCUGGAUGAUUGUUGAUCGUGUGUACAUGGGCUGCUUUCCAACCCCACUCAGGGUACUACAAACACUAGAAUUCUUAAUGUCCAUGUUACAGCUUGCUAAUAAAGAUGGCCGUGUUGAAGAUGCUGUGCCUCCAGGUAAAGGUAUUUUGUCCAUUGCUCGAGGAAGCAAGCAACUUGAUCCUUACAUCCACGCAAUAUUGAAGAACACAAACCGGAUGAUAAUGUACUGCUUCCUCCCAACAUUCCUCAAAAGUAUGGGGGAAGAUGAUCUACUUGCAAAUCUUGCAUUCCUGACAGAAACUGGGAGGAGUUUAGCUUCUAAACCUUACCAGGAAGAUUUUUCUAUUGAUAUUUGUACAGUUCUUCAGCUACUAAUUGCCAACAAGAGAUUGGUGCUCUGCCCAAGCAAUGUUGAUACAGAUCUAAUGUGUUGUUUCUGCAUAAAUUUAAUGGCACUUCUCCAUGACAAGAGAGUAACUGCUCAAAACUUGGCGGUUGAUUUACUUAAAUACUUGGUAGUGCAUCGUCGCCAAUCUCUUGAGGACCUGCUAGUUUGCAAGCCUAACCAAGGACAACAACUGGACAUCCUGCAUGGAGGACUUGAUAAAUUGCUCACUGGAAGCACGUCAAUGUUUUUUGAAUGGCUCCAAAGUUCCCAGCAAACAAUAAGUAAAGUGUUGGACCAGUGCGCUCUAAUAAUGUGGGUUCAAUAUAUUACCGGCUCAGCAAAGUUUCCUGGCGUGAGAAUAAAAGGAAUGGAGGUCAGGCGCAAGAAAGAGAUGGGACGGAAAUUUCGCGAAUCUGCAAAACUAGAUGCCAGGCACUGGGAGCAGAUAAAUGAGCGGAGAUACAAUCUUGAUUUGGUUCGUGAUGUGAUGUCUACAGAGCUAAGAGCAAUUCGUCAAGACAAAUACGGAUGGAUAUUGCACGGGGAAAGUGAGUGGCAAAGCCAGCUCCAAGAACUUGUUCAUGAGAGAGGUAUUUUUCCCAUGCGGCAAUCAUCAACAGAACCUGAGUGGCAGCUCUGUGCUGUUGAAGGACCAUAUAGAAUGAGGAAGAAACUUGAGCACUCCAAAUUUAAGAUAGAUACUAUUCAGAAUGUUCUAACCAGCAACCUUGGAUCAAAUGGUGUUAAGAUGAUCAAUAAAGAGGAUGGAGAAUUGUUAACAUCUGGGUCAGAUACAAUGUCAGGCUUGAAUCUUUUGACCUACGGCACUGAGCCGAAGGAUCUUGAUGCUGUUGAGUUUUCAUCAUUCAAAGAUGACGAUGACAUAUUCAAAGGAGGAAGCACAAAAUCAGCUCCAAUUGGCUGGACCGAUGAUAAAAGCAGCAUUAAUGAACAGAGCCUUCAUUCUGCGACGGAAUUUGGAGCAAAAUCAAGUUCCCUUUCUUUUCACAUGACUGAGAGUCACCAGGUUAAAUCUGAACUUAGUUCACCAAGGAGGGCACCUUCAGUCAAAGGUACUGAUGCAAGAACCUCAGAGGAUAAAUCAGAAAAGGAGUUGCUUGACAAUGGUGAGUAUCUUAUCAGGCCUUAUCUGGAGCCCUAUGAGAAAAUAAGGCAUAAAUACAACUGUGAACGGGUUGCUGGUCUUGAUAAGCACGAUGGAAUAUUUCUAAUUGGAGAACUUUGCUUAUACAUUAUCGAGAACUUCUACAUUGAUGAUUCCAAUUGCAUUUGUGAAAAGGACAGUGAAGAUGAGCUCUCUGUCAUCGAUCAAGCUUUAGGUGUGAACAAGGAUAUAAUGGGAAGCAGUGAAUCUCAGUUGAAAUCACCUUCCACUUGGGGUGGGACAGCAAAGGUCUUGCUUGGUGGCAGAGCAUGGGCAUAUAACGGAGGUGCUUGGGGUAAAGAGAAGCUUUGCAGCAGCAGCAACCUGCCUCAUCCAUGGCAUAUGUGGAAGCUUGAUAGUGUUCAUGAGUUGCUGAAACGUGAUUACCAGCUCCGCCCUGUUGCAAUUGAAAUUUUCAGCAUGGAUGGUUGCAAUGAACUUCUAGUUUUCCACAAAAAGGAGAGAGAGGAAGUUUUCAGAAAUCUGAUCGCCAUGAAUCUCCCGCGGAAUAGCAUGUAUGGAUUCUUAAUCCUUUGCAACUCUAGAUGCCUAGUAGUUACCAUGUGCAUGUGUAGCAUUAAGACUUGCUAUUCAAAACACUUAAUUGCCUGUCUAUAUAAUUAUCGUGUCAUGAAAGGUACUCCCUCCAUUCCAAAUUAUAAGAUGUUUUGCCUUUUCUAGAUACAUAGUGUAUAUCUAAGUGCAUAGCAAAAGCUAUAUAUCUAGAAAAGCCAAAACAUCGUAUAAUUUGGAAUGGAGUAAUGUGUACCAAUUCAUGACUUUGUGCUUCAGAAAAAUUAACAUUCAUGUUUCAUUCUGAGGGAAGUUACCUUUUUUUGUCUGCAGAUUGCAUGUUAAACAUGCGACUGUCAAUUUUUAUUGUCAUAAGUUCUGGUAUUUAGGAUCUAUAGUUUCAAAACAAGUAUAUUCCUAUUUCCUAAUUCCCAGAGGUUCAUGUCUCACCCUUUUACUCUUUGCCCGGUAGUUCUGUUUACUAGAAUUGUCAAGCUUGAUUUUGCUGGGAAGAGCUGUCUAUUUUCAUAAGAAAUUAAGAUAUCGAUUAUGCCUUUUUACUAGCAAUUAUUACAUUUGCUAUAUGUUCUUCCUUCUUGCCUCAUUCAGUUAAUAGUUUAGGAUGUUUUCUUUAUCUUGUGCAUUCUAUGAACUAUUUGAACUUGUAGGACCUGGCAUUUUUUUGCUAUUACUUAUCAUUAGAUUUGGCAUAGGAGCUUUGUGUCUUUGUUAACAAUUGAAGAAAAUAUGCCUUUCCACAGGUUGGACACAACCAUAUCAGCAUCCUCUAAACAGGAGAGUGGUGAGGGGAGCCGUCUUUUUAAAGGCAUGGCAAAAUCAUUUUCUAAAAGAUGGCAAAGUGGAGAAAUUACAAACUUCCAAUAUCUCAUGCAUCUAAAUACACUUGCCGGUCGAGGGUACAGUGAUCUCACACAGUACCCAGUAUUUCCAUGGGUUCUUGCAGAUUAUGAGAGCGAUGCUUUAGAUCUGAGGAAUCCACAGACAUUUCGCAGGCUUGAUAAACCCAUGGGAUGCCAAACGGAGGAAGGAGAAGAGGAAUUCCGCAAGAGGUUGGUUCAUUUAGCAUCCAUUUGUAUGCUUUUGUUUCUCUUUCAACUUUCAAUUAGAAAAACUAACAUCUUUGAUUUUGCUAAACGCUGGGGUCCAUAUAACUCAAUUGGAAUUUAUUGUUUUGUUCCUUUCAGAUAUGAUAGUUGGGAUGACCCUGAUGUACCAAAGUUCCAUUAUGGCUCUCAUUAUUCAAGUGCUGGGAUUGUCCUUUUCUAUCUCUUAAGGUUGCCUCCUUUUAGCACAGAAAAUCAGAAGCUGCAGGGUGGACAAUUUGACCAUGCAGAUCGCUUAUUCAACAGUGUGAGGGAUACAUGGGUCAGCGCUGCGGGCAAAAGUAACACAUCAGAUGUGAAAGAACUAAUUCCUGAGUUCUAUUAUUUGCCUGAAUUUUUGGAGAACAGUUUUAAUCUGGACCUGGGCGAGAAACAAUCAGGAGAGAAGGUAUACUCUCACAAAUUGUGUGCAAAUCUUUGCACUAUACUAGAAAGUUCAGUUCAGUUGGGGGCAAACAUGUAACUUCUUUAAAUGAUGCUUUCAGGUUGGUGAUGUUGUUUUGCCACCUUGGGCUAAAGGCAGUGCUAGAGAAUUCAUUAGGAAGCAUCGGGAAGCAUUGGAAUCAGAUUACGUGUCUGAGAAUCUGCAUCAUUGGAUUGAUCUUAUUUUUGGAUAUAAGCAGAGAGGAAAGGUAUUAAGCAUACCUUCAUCUCUACAUUUGCAUUUUAUCCCUAGCACUAGCAGUGUUGCUGUAAUCACCGUAGCACAAAUAUGUUUCGGUUUGAAAUAAGGAUAGUCUUCUUUCUACUCUUGAACAUACAGGAUUUGUGAUCACAAAGUGAGCUAUAAUUUUGCCUUUUUAUUGAAGUGUCUUCUAGUCUUCUACUGAUUCAUUAUUUUGUGCCAUCUGACUAUAGUUAUUAAAUCAUGCAUAGUUUUGUUUUCAUCCUAGGGAGAGCAGGACUAUGAGUUAAUGAAUCAAUCUGCUCCGUGUUAUGUUCUCCAUUUUACUUAACAUCUCAGAUGUAAUCUUGACCAACGAUUUCUAUAUAUUAUGUUGGGAAUACUUUUUUUUUAGCUUUUGUGAGCACAAAGUGAUUUGUAAUGUGAAACAGAGGGUAUUACAGUAGGUCUUUGUUAUAUACUUUGUUUGGUAGUAUCUCUCAUUUAUUAUGUGAUUUCUGAUAUUUAUUUUCUUUUUUUAUAUAUAUGGUAGGCAGCUGAAGAUGCUGUCAAUGUCUUCUAUCACUACACAUACGAAGGCAAUGUUGACAUAGACGCAGUAUCAGAUCCUACCAUGAAGGCUUCAAUACUAGCACAAAUCAACCAUUUUGGUCAGACCCCAAAACAGUUAUUCCAGAAACCACAUCCACAGAGGCGGACUGACAGGAAAGUACCUCCUCAUCCUCUACGGUACAGCGCCUAUCUAACACAGCAGGAGAUUCGCAAGACAGCAUCUUCGGUGUCCCAGGUUGUCUCCUACAAUGAUAAAAUCCUAAUUGCUUCAGUUAACUGCUUGCUCAAGCCGCUAACUUAUAAUGAAUACAUUUCCUGGGGAUUCCCUGACCGAAGCUUGAGAAUAUUAACAUAUGAUCAGGAUAGGCUUUUGUCUACACAUGAAAACCUUCAUGGUGGUAGUCAAAUUCAGUGCACUGGAGUGAGCCAUGAUGGCAACAUUCUCACCACUGGUGGUGAUGAUGGAGUUGUUGCAGUGUGGAGAUUUGUGAAGGAUGGCAUCCGCCGUCUCCUGAGAAUGGAGAAGGCUUUGUGUGCUCACACGGGCAAGAUAACUUGUGUCUCUGUCAGCCAACCUUACUCAUUGAUUGUCUCAGGCUCUGAUGACUGUUCUGUUAUCUUGUGGGACCUAACAAGCCUAGUCUUUGUGAAGCAGCUACCAAGGUUCCCAGCAUCAGUAUCCGCGCUACAUGUGAACAACCUCACUGGUGAGAUCCUGACUGGUGCUGGUGUUCUUUUUGCUGUUUGGAGCAUCAAUGGGGACUGCCUUGCUGUGGUGAACACCUCCCAGCUUCCUUCUGACCUCAUCUUGUCUGUGACAAGCACGAUACACUCAGAUUGGCAGGACACAAACUGGUACGUGACAGGUCAUCAAAGUGGUGCAGUUAAGGUAUGGAAGAUGGUGCACUGCUCGUCUGAUGAAGCAGUAAAGAGCAAAUCGCCUUCGGUAUCUUCUGGUGGGCUUACCCUUAACGGCCAAACACCAGAGUAUAGGCUACUUUUGCAGAAGGUGCUCAAGUCACAUAAACACCCUGUCACUGCCCUUUGUAUACCACCGGACUUGAAGCAGCUUCUGAGUGGGGAUGCCAGCGGCCACUUGCUCUCAUGGUCAUUGAAAGACGACAGUUUCAAGGGUUCAUAGCACAGAGGAAUAUAGGGAUUCAGCUGCACAUAUAGAGAACACUGAUUAAAUUAUACCACUGAUGUCUUCCUCGUCCAGAACUGAGCAUUGGCGUGCAUUGACGAAAGAGCUCAGAUCAGCAAGCUUCUACAUGGUAUAUUAAAUGUUCCCUGGAUGCCCCAUGCCUGGGCCAUACAGCAGCAGUCCGGGCAGGAGAAAGAAUACAACAGACACAUUGAAAGAAUGAAGUGGACGAGGCGAUCGAGGCAUCGCUGCGCUCACAUCAUAAUCUUAUACUGUGAAUUAUCAGAUGGUUGUACCUUCUCUUCUUGUUUUUUUGAGGAGAAAAGGAUUCAUGUGGGCUGUAGGUGCCAGUGUUUGUAAAGUCUGUACAGGGUAAUUUUGGUGGUGCCGGUUGAGGUGGACGAUGAUGGUGUACUGUCUCGAUGUUUUGUUUGGGGUUGCGGAAGUAAGGAAAGAGGUGUUAGGUUCAUUUUCUCUCCUCCCCCCCUAGAAGUGUUGUUCAUUCUUUGACUGGGUGUAAUUUGAGCACCCUUGUGUUCAGUAAAUCUAUUUGCACAUACAUGCAAGAGUUUUGCUGAACAAAGCGACAAGCCCCCUUCCAUGGUCCAUGGUUCGAUUGGAAAUCCUAUUUGAAGUCAAGUGUCUAGAACUGGAACUUGGGGAAGGUUAAAUGUGUGUAUAUCAAGCCACCAUUUCGCACAUUCGUGAUGUAACACUAAUUAAGUGUAGCCGUGCUCCUUCCGUUCACCACGGAUUAACAAGCGGAUAGGACACAUUCCCAGUCGUUUGGUCCGACCGACGCCUCGGAUCUGACUGACUGCGUCGGCAGCCAUGAUCCCCUGAUACAGCCAUCUACAAGACUUGGAGGCACAAAAUCGCAGAUGUCUCAACUCUGUUCUUCGCUCUGCAAGUGUUUUUCAGCUGGACAGGUGGCAAAGACCAGAGAGGCACGAGGUGCAAUGGCCAGCUGUUGAAAGCAUCGCUUCAACCGACAACCGGGCUUUACGUUUUGGUGAGAGGCCAUGUGAUCAGUCAAAGGAUACUCGCGUCCGGUCCAACAUCUUCUAAAAAUAUGCUAUAUACUACUAGUAACAUAUAUGGUAUUGCAUCUGCUUAUUAAAACUUGCACAGCUGGUUAGAGCAUCUCCAAGAGAUUUUUAUAUUUUGUUCUCUAAAGUAUAGUGUUUGCCAACUCCUAAUUAGUAUGAAAAAAAAGUCAUUUUCUAUAUUUCUAUCCUAAAAAGUUUUUUCAGCAUUUUUUUUCCUACGACUUGGUCUCAUAUUUUGUGAACCCUAAAUUUUAUUUCUGUACGUGUUUAAACCCUUUUACGAACCAUGUCUUUUUUCCUUUUACUAGACGGGCCGAGAAACUUUGGAUGUGCGCUUCUAGUCCACGCGGAUAUAUACGCGAUCGGGAUAAAAUUUUACGAGGUCAGAAAAGAUGGGAAAGGAAGAUGUCAAAAUAUUAGAGAUAGUUUUGUUUUAGUUUUACCAAAAAAUUAAGAAUAAGAAAACCGAAGGACAAACUGUUGGAGAUGCUUUAUGCAUAGCCUAGUUUAGUGUACUACGUAUAAUACACAAAGUCCUACACUUCUACACGUCAGCGUGCGGUGGAACGUUAAACGUAAACUGGAUAAGACUAUUGCUAUAUCUUAUCCAGAUUCCUCAAUAGUCAAUACCUAACUCGCCCGAAUCUCCUGUGAUAUUUUCUGACUUUUUGUGGCUUAUGAAUCAUGUGAAAAAGCGAAUAAUCAUAUAGCUACUUUCUGAAACAGAAUAAAGAAUCGUAACCUGACGGAUGAAAAUUCAGUAAACGCGGUCACACGCGUCUAGUAUUUCUAAGCUCUCAGUAUGCAUAAUUUAUUUAUUAAAAAAAACUUGAAGAUUCUCUUAGAUCGCAUGAGAAUAAAACAUUUUGAUGCAAAAUCGCAGCAAAAUUUAUCCAAAAUUAUUGGUUCCAAACAAAACAAGGACAGCGACAGCAUGAUGAUUAGGAGACAGAGAAUGGAUUAGGGAAAGCAUCAAUCCAGUGGACGGCGUCUAGAUUUGAGAACUCGAAGGCAAUUCUUCCACGAUAGAUAUGGGAUUCUGGUCGAAAGUUUCUCUCCGCAUGUGCUAAGACCAUUUCUAAUAGAGUUUUACAGUAUUAAAUAUGCUGAUGUAGCACCAUAUUAAUGAAGAGAGAUGUGAUAAAAAUUUUAUGGGAUUGUAGAGAGUUUCAUGGGAAUGUAACUUUUCUACACUGAUUCCAAAAUAUAGAUGUGUUAAAAACUGAGCCACGAAACCUGCAUUGAGGAUGACUUAAUCAAAUUUCCAGCUGACUAUGCUCAAUCUACCAUGGUUUAUAGGAUAAUAGAGGUUAUUGUGACUUUUUCCACGUCAGCGUGUGGUGGAAUCUUAAAACUAAAACUGGAUGUGGAUAAGCAAGAAACUUGACCAUAGAAUACAAGUUGUCUUGCAUCAAAACUAUUCCAUGAUACUUUGAUCACAAUAGCCGACUCAAAAAUAUUCCAAGAUACAUCUACUCCACAAUAGACGAAUCGAAUCGAAUCUCUUUUGACGAUUCAUAAACCAUGCAACAUCGGUUGCCUUUUAUGAUGCAGCUUAUCCAAAUUCCUCCGUAAUCUUCCCGGAAAUAAAUAAUCGCAAAUAUGGCUUUAUCCACCAACCGACCAAAGGGUAAAAUGGGAAACGGAAAAAGUCUAUAUAUGUUGACUUGUGUGGGCUUGUGGCAUUCAGAGCGAAUCCUUUGCCGUAGCAUAGCAAACAGCCAAGGGAGAGUGGGGAGACUAGCGAAAGAGGACAGCGCACGGAAAGCGAGGAGAGGGGAAACAGAGAGGUCGCAUCGGACGGCGGCGAGAUGCUGGCGGUGUUCGAUCCCACGGUGGCCAAGUGCCCGGAGGGCCUCCGCAGCCCGCCGGUCGCCGGAUCGGCCGCUGCAGCAGCAGGCGGAGCCGGCGCGGGCGCGCUGAUGAAGGGCUUCUCCGACUCGCACGACGGCGCCGUCACCGUCAGCCUGGGCCCCUCCGGCGCGCUGGCCUACUCGGCAGCCAACCAGAACCCCCUCGUCCCAAGGUGCUGUGCUCUGCUUCCCGGCCCGUGCUCGCUCGCUCGCUUGCUUGCCGAAUAUGUGCUUCUGUGAUGUGACGCCUCUGCGUGAUGCGAAAAUGGUUCGUGUUUGUGGACCAUGUUUGUGUGCUUUGGCUGAGAUUCGGUUAUGUGAUCUUUUCCUGGAGGUUGGAUUGGAACGGGGUGAAACUUUUUGAGGUUCCCGAUGUGUGAUCUUAUUUUUCUCUAGUUUUUUAGGCUACCGAACGAUGUGGACUUCGAUCAGUCCUGCAGAUGCUUUCCACGGCGAUUCGAGGAGAGAUUUCUUCUGUUUUUAUGUAUAGAUGUUGUUUUCAUGAUGGUUUUGUCUCGUGGGUAUAAACUUGGGGCGUUUUUGUGGCGUAGUUGUUGGUCAUGCUCUUCUAGUUGUCUAGAUCUGCUCCGUUUGUAGAGUCUGCAAGUUCGCGAUUUUUUCCGGACCAAAUCAACACACGUUUGUGAUGACGCGGUGCUUUGUACGAAUUUGAACAUUGGGGUUGUUAGAUGUAUUGUUGGUUCAUGCCUAUAAACUAUUUGAUCAGUCGAGUUCUCUGUGAGUUCAGUUUGUGGAAUCAUGAAUGCAUUGAUUCACACACACGCCACAAGCUACACCUGAUAGCAUGGUACAGUAGUGCUGUUUAUCAGGUACUAUUGACUGUGCUACAUUGGAUUGUUUUCAAGUAAUACCUGGAAUCACUUUACUUAAGAGAUGCUUUUGAUUCUAAAUGAAAUUUGACAAUUUGACAAUCCAUCUUACAUCGAUUAGGGAAGGAAGAAAGAGUAUCCCUAGUUUACAGUCACAUGGCACGGUCAUUUACACAUUAUUCACAUUUAGGAUGUAUGUGCUUCUAGUAGUUUGUGGUUCUCUUAGAUUUGUCGUGGGAUUGAUGUUUUUUCACCUUAAACUGAGCCAUUUAAUCCUAGCUAUGAAUUAUAGUUUCAGAUCCAAUCAUCUUAUCUGGCAUAUAUGAUUGUUAUCCAACAUGAAGAGACUUUUGUGGAGAUGGGUAUGGGUAUGGGUAUGAGUCUAUGAGAACUUUGGUUGAACCUUCUGUAUUGCUACUCUCGUUCACAUGCUCUCUAUGUUACAUAUGUUAUUUGAAUAUCUGUCGUUGUACUGAUGGGCUAGGAUGGCCAAUAGCAUGGCCAUGUCUUGUCGACACAACUGAAUUACAUGUCAAUUUGACACUUGUAAGCAUUUGUUCCUUGUCAACAGGGAUGAUGAUGACAGGUGAUGUUUAUUAUUAGGUAGUAACAUGUAGUUCCAACAAUUGAAAAUGGUUGUGGACCUGUCGGAAGUUGAGUCCCUUUAAACAAAAUGAAGUGCAUUGUACUUUAAGCUAUUAUUAGCCUGCUCAGUUUUGCACAAUACAAAACAGAAUUAGCAUUGAUGGCAUCCAAAUACGAAAACAACAUAAUAGUAGGUCUGCUUUUAUUUGAAGUGUCAUGCUGUUGGUGCUGAGAAAGUCAAUCUCUGGAAGGAAAUUUCUCAGACUCGUUUUAGGCUUGCAGGAUUUGGUCAACUGCAUUUCAUGGAGUUUCUUUUAAAUAAGAUCAUUUUGACUCGGAAAAAAAAGAUGCAUCGCAACACAUACACACUUAUCUCGAAUAGUGAUUGAUCCUGGGAGUUCUUUUGUUAUUUGGUAUUUGGUAUAUCCCUACAGUUGAUUGCAUUACAUUUAGCUGAUUCUGCACCUUGUUCUCCUGUCCAGGUUGUUUGGUGCUGUGAAUGACAUCUUCUGCCUGUUCCAAGGGCACAUUGAGAACAUUGCCAACCUGAAGCAGCAUUAUGGCCUGAGCAAGACUGCGAAUGAGGUGACUAUCCUCAUAGAGGCCUACAGGACCCUGAGGGACAGGGGUCCAGUCCCAGCCAGCCAGGUUGUGAGAGACCUCAGUGGGAAGUUUGCGUUCAUCCUGUAUGACACCCUGUCGAAGUCCACCUUUGUCGCUGCUGUAAGUUCACCUAUUGUAAUAUACAAUUCUUUCCUCAACCGUACCUUUGUUGACUGUGGAUUGAGCCUUGUUGCAAUGCCAAUGUUUAAAUGCAGGACGCUGAUGGCAGUAUCCCUUUCUUCUGGGGUGUCGAUUCUGAGAACCACCUUGUGUUUUCUGACGAUGCUGGGCUCCUCAAGACAGGCUGCGGCAACUCGUAUGCGCCAUUCCCCAAAGGUAACUACAACAACAGAACACCAUUUCUUUUCCAGUCAUCCUUUAUGCACAAAUCAUCUUCUAGUACUUGUCAUUUUUUUUCGCGAACAUGCCUUUCAUUCUACUUACUAUACAUGUCCACCCCUCAGGUUGCUUCUACACCACCUCCGGUGGGCUGCAGAGCUUCGAGCACCCGCUGCACGAGGUCAAGGCGGUGCCGCGCGUGGACAGCCAAGGCCAGAUGUGCGGCUCCACCUUCAAGGUCGACAGCGAGAGCAAGAAGAAGCAGGACGCCAGCAUCCCCCGUGUCGGCAGUGCCGCCGACUGGUCCAACCAGUUCUGAUCGUCUGGCUUUGUUCACCAUCUUUUUGGUACCCAUUACCCCGGCUGCCUACUACGAGGUGCCGAGCUGUGUAUCUGAUGGAUCCAUGAGACGAUUUCUGCCACGUUUCUUUCACACUUGUCGAACGUCGUGAGAUUCUCACAUCGCGUUUAUCUACGCUAUCGUGUAACUGAUAUACUAAUCAUACGGAGUGUUCCAGGUGGUGGUAGAUGUACUGCAGAAUCUAUCUCCCGUAUGUUUCAAUAAAGCUCAAUAAGAGGCUCGAUUUGGUUCUGUGGAUUUGUGAUGCUAAUAAGAGUAUUACUUUUGAGUCGGUUUUUGUUGCACCCUUUUCUUUUUCUUCUCGUUUCAUUACCCCAAAGCAUAACGUUGGGCUGUGUCUGCCUGGCGGUUACCGUUACCGUGGAGCAGUUGGGCAACUGGGGCACAGUGGGCAUACGACUAUUGGGUCAAUGGGUGUCCAUGACAACCACUGGGCAAUACUGCAUGGACUCUGCCUAGUUCGUAAGCUUUGUUUGCAUGUGUGCAUGUGCUCAAAGAUAUCUAACAAACCAUAGACACAGUAGAAAUUCAUCCUAAUUGCAAAACACUCAAGUAUUGGGGAAAUGUGCAUCACAGAUGAGCUGAAUCUGCAAGCCAUUCAGCAGUAUUUUUCUCUUACAACAAAUCAAUAUUUUUCUCUUAUAACAAAUCAGCCAACUUUAUGUCAUGGCCUGUUCGCAUGUGCAUGUACCUCGCCCCUAGUAUAGAAAUGCAUCAUUUUAACCUGUCCCAUUCCUCCUAUCCUAUCUGAACAUCUGACAUGGAUGCUUGAACAACCCAAAAACCCAAUACCUUGAAGAACCCACCAAAAUUCUAACACCAAUUUUUUUUGGUUUUGGUGUUUAUUUCUCAAAAAAAAAAUUUACAAAAUUUUUCAAAUUCCCUGUCACAUCGAAUCUUGCGGCACAUGUAUAGAGCACUAAAUGUAGAUAAAAAAUAACUAAUUGCAUAGUUUAUAUAUAAUUGCGAGACGAAUCUUUUGAGCCUUAUUAUUUUAUUAUUAGACAAUAUUUGUCAAAUACAAACGAAAGUAUUACAGUGUUCAUUUUGUAAAAAUUUUUGAAACUAAACAAGACCUUGGCCUUGUUUAGUUCCACCCAAAAACCCAAAAUUUUUCAAGAUUCCCUGUCACAUUGAAUCUUUAGACGCAUGCAUGAAGUAUUAAAUAUAGACGAAAAUAAAAACUAAUUGCAUAGUUUGGUCGAAAUUGACGAGACGAAUCUUUUGAGCCUAGUUAGUCCAUAUUUGGACAAUAAUUACCACAAACAAACGAAAGUGCUAUAGUGUCGCGAAAUUUUUCCCUUUCGAAAACUAAACACGGCCCUUAUGUCCCUAUUUAUACCUGGGCAACGGGCCGGGCCGGCCCGGCCCGGCACGACACCGGGCCGGCCCGGCACGUUGCCUAACGGGCCGAGGGGGCCCGUCGUGCCCUGCGGGCCGUGCCUUACCGGCCUGCGGGCCUGACCUCCGGCCCAGGCACGGGCCCGUGGGCCAUUUUGCGUACCGGGCGGGCCCGUCAGGCCGGGCCAGCCCAUAGCCCGUUGAACAAUAACAUAUCAAUAAAUACAGAUUUAAAAGCAUAUUUCAAACACAUUCAUCAAUUCAUCACUUCAUCAGUAUAAAGAACACAUUCAAAUACAUAUGACAGAUGUAGAGAAUAGAUUUAGAUAUCAAAAUGAGUUAUUUUAUACAAUGUUGUUAUUUGGCGGGCCGGGCCGUGCCGGCCCGCGGGCCUGAAGUGCGGCCCAAGCACGGCCUGCAGCCCCGUGCCGUGCCAGCCCGGGCCCAAUGACCUUCGGGCCGGGCCGGGCUAGGGCCGGGCCAAAAUGACGGGCUUCGGGCCGUGCUCACGGGCUCGGGCUGCAUGCCCAGGUAUAUCCCUAUUUCAUUUUGCAAAUAGUUUAGGACCAAAAUAUUUUGGACAUGUUUACUUCCAAAAUGCAAAAUAGCAAAAAAUUUUGCAUUUGACCUAAAAUAUUUUGGAACUGGCCUUGUUUACUUCCCCAAAUAUUUUGCAAAAUGUUCCAGAUUCUCCGUCACAUCGAAUUGUACGGCACAUGCAUGAAGCAUUAAAUAUAGGUAAAAAAGAUAACUAAUUACACAGUUUGCAUGUAAUUUGUGACGAAUCUUUUGAGCCUAGUUAGUCUAUAAUUGAAUAAUAAUUAUUAAAUAAAACCAAAAGUGUUACUGUUCAUAUUUUGCAAAUUUUUUGCAAAGGCCGUAAAAAAGCAAAAACUUUUUAAAAUUUCCCGUCAUAUCAAAUCUUAUGACACAUGUAUGGAGUAUUAAAUAUAGAUGAAAACAAAAACUAAUUGCACAGUUUUUACAACUAAACAAGGCCUAAACAAGGCCUCAGUGUCAACAGCGUGGAGCCCAGCCCUACGAGUGGGCUUGGCAGUCUGGCCCAGUCAGUUUGCUCGGCCCGUAUCGAUGCACAGUGGUGAAGCUAGAGUAAAUUAAAUGAAAGUGUAUUUAGUUUGUGCGGGUAUAGACAUUUUUCGUGGAGUUGUAUAUAUGAUAAAAUUUUAAAUCUAAUCAAUGUUUUUAUAAUUUGGUUCGCCCCUAGUUACAAUGUAGGCUCGCCCCUGUCGACGCAUCCUUAUAAAAAAACAAAAAACAAUCUAGUGAAACGCGCGUCCCAAGUCUGAAGAAAAAAAAAGUCUGAAGGCUGCGCAAGAGCGAACCCGCCAGGCUCGGCUUCGUGGUUCGUCUUCCCCUUCUCGGGCUCCGCGUCGGCGCGUCCCAUCACGCGCUCCUCUCUUUUUUUUUCCCUUUCUUUUUAUUACAAACAAAAACUUUUUAAUUCCCACCUCCGUUUCUCUGUCUCUCUCUCCUGCUCGUCCUCCCUCCCCCCCUUUCUCUCGCCCGUACGAAACCCUAGGCUCCGCCGCCCAAAACCUCGCCGCCGCGCCGCCGUCGGGCGGCGCCCCAUGGCCCCGGCCUUCUCCGUCCCUGACGCAGAAGACCUCCCGGCCCGCAGAUCCGACGCCUCCGACGUCGCAGGCAACGUUUGGGACCUCGCGACCCUCCCCACGCCCCCCGCCGGCGGCGGCCGCGAGAUAUACAUCUACCGCAACACGUUCAACCUCGUCCCGCGCUCCAUCGGCGGCGGAGCCGGCGGCCUCAGGUCGCUCAAGUUCUUCGGCAACGAUGUGGAGGUGCUACCCGCGGAUGCCGGGGGCGAGCUGGACGGGCUCGAGAGCCUCCAGGUCAAGGUGUCCGCGCCCAGGGUCUCAGGGGCGCCGCUCCGUCGGAUGCAGGCUCUCAAGGAGCUUGAGCUCUCAAUGGUGCCGCCCAGGCCGUCCUCGUGCUCCAUACUGGCGGAGGUUGCCGGGCUCAAGUGCCUUACGAAGCUCACCAUUUGCCACUUCUCAAUAAGGUAUGUGCAAAACCACAAAUUCGAUUCCCCGUGCUUGCCGGGUUUUUUUUUUCGUUUUCAAGCUUAAAUGUGGUUGCUUUAUUGUGUUCUCAGCUGUCCCCCCCCCCCCCCCCCUACUAAUUAUUCAUCAAUUCAAUUCAAUUAAGUAGUAUGACGGUAGGGGAAAUGGUGUGCGUGACUAAGCUUGGAUGGGUAACCAUGAUUAGUAAUGCCUGUUCGUUUUAGGCUGAAUUUCUCUGUGCUAGGUAGGUACUGGUAACCGUGAUUUCUUUUGUCAAGUGUUAAUUUAGGUUGACCAAAUGUUGUUGUGUUGUGUAUAUGUUUUUUUUUUGCUUCUGUCAUGAAUUAAUUCCAUUUGUUUACUGUUCAAUUCAUCACAGUACAGAAUUACUGAAUUGUGGAUAGCUGCUAUUUGUAUUUCAAAUACACUAGAAUGCAUGUGCAUUAUUUAUUGUGCUUCAUUGCUUCAGUGGUGGUGCUUUCAAACAUAGCACAUUCAUUGCUUCUGUGACGGUUGCUUUCCGUGGAAUAACCAUAUCUUUCCUUGUUGCUGAAAAUAUAAUGGCAGCCAUGUGCCAUGUGCAACCUUUAAAUUGCUGAAUCACUGUUAGGGUCAUCAAGAGUUUCAUCCAUCUGUGGGAUGUGGACAUGGGUUCUCUUAGUUUCUGGAGUGUAAAUACUGAUGUGCUGAUGUUUCAGAUCAGUUGGGUACAACUUUUAGGCUUUUAGCCAGGGUGUGUUUUCUUCUUCUUUUUUGUGUGUGUGUUUGGGGGGGGGGGGGGGGGGCAGGACAGGGAUGUCCAUGUGUUUUGGUUCAGGGACAGAUAGAAUGAACCGUCCCCAAGAGAGACUAUUCCCCUAAGACGUCAUACCUCAAAAACAGAGGUACCAACCAGUUCCCUAUCGAUGCUGUUCUACUCUGUUACGGCAUCCUUCCUUCCUGCCUCGCGCCGUUCUUCCUCUGUGCACGCCAUUGGCGGGCCAGCCGCGCGCCACCCACAUGCUACCCUGCACACAUGCACGCCACCACAUGUCCCCACCACUGACAACAGCGCAGGGACAAAUGCAGCAGGCAAAGCCGCACUGGCGAGGGAGGGUGGCCUCUGUGGUAGCCACGCCACCGCGCUGGUGAGGGAGCGCAGCUGGGCCAUGCGGAGCUGCCUCACUAAGCAGGGCAGGCAGCGGUGGGCACAGAUGCUGCUCUGGCUAUGUAUUUGCUCUUGUCUUUUUUAUAUGAAUGUGCUAUGUUUUGGUAGAGGAAAGGAGGAAGAAAUGGAAAAAAUGAGUAGCACACGUGGGCCCACCUUGACGGUUGCGAACGGAGGCAAAACGGCUAUCCACCCUAUCCUUUUUCGUCCCUCAUGCCAAACACAAAACAUGGUUGAUUCCUUCCUACAACCAGACAUGGAGAUGAGAUCAUCCCAUCCCAGAAAACUGUGGCGACACCAUUCUCGUGCUGUCCCACCUCAUCCCAAAACAAAUCAGGCCAUUUAGGCAACACCUUUACUAAAUGAGCACCAGUGCUAUGUGCUUUGAACACAAUGGUAGAAUCACUUUUGCUAAACUUUUGAUUCUGUGAUGCAUUAUACUUACAUGUAGUUUCUCACACUUUUUUUGUUGGAACCAGGUCUUGUUGAGGUUUUCCUCUUUUUUCAUUCUAGUGCCAUUUUGUGAUAUCUUCAGUUAAACUUUGGUCAUUUAUGAAUAUUUCGAAUGAAUACAUGAAAAUAUUAUAGGUAAAUUACUUCCACUGCAUUAAAGUUUUAUUUGGUUACAAAUCAGUGGACAUAGCUGAUGUCUUUGGGGACCGUGAUUGUGUCAGAUAUGUGCUGCUUUAAUGAUUGGAGUACUUGACUGAAUUGCCUUGUUGUAUGAGCUACUCUAUUGAGUUUUGACUGAUUGUUACCCUUGUCACAAACUCACAAUGUACAGGUACCUCCCUCCUGAGAUUGGUUCCCUCAGGAAGCUCCAAGAGCUUGACCUCUCAUUCAACAAACUGAAGAACUUGCCUAACUGUAUAAUUGAGUUGAGUGCGCUGAAGUUCCUCAAAGUGACCAAUAAUAAGUUGGUGGAUGUACCCUCUGGAAUCUCCUCUUUGAGGUGUCUUGAAAGCCUUGACUUAUCAAACAACAGAUUGACUUCUCUUGGUUCAGUUAAACUUAUUUCUAUGCUUACGCUGCAGUAUUUAAACCUUCAGGUAUUUUCUCUAUCUACUGCGUCUUUUCUCAUGAGUAAAAUUACAUGUUUCUUCUUUAUUUGCUAUAUUCUAAUUGUUGUAACAUCUAUUCCACUGUCUAUACUAGUGUUUCUGCUAUAUUUGUUUUAUGUGGUUCAAUAUAGCAAUAUGUAUCCAUUUAAAUGUGUUGAAAAUUUAAGGGCAGAUGUGUUAGAGGAGGUAUUUAGCCCAAAACUAAAGCAUGUGUUGAUUUUAUGGGGAGCAGGAGGGGUCACUUGUUUUGUGCUAAUGAUGUUAUACUUAUUACUCGUUGGUGCUAUUUAUUUUAUAUCAUGGAUGCUGUUUUUAUAAAUUUAUAAAUACCAUACAUUGACAUUUUGUUUUCUGUUUCAAGUUUAAUAGGCUCUCCCAUUCCUAUGUAAUUCCUUCAUGGAUAUGCUGUGAUAUGAGGGGAAACGUUGAAAAUGCUAUGAAGGGUUGCAAGCUGAAGUACACAGGUGUAGCGGACAUGAGUAGUUUAGCAGAAUCUACUACAUCAAGUCGUGCUUGCGACAGUUCCCUUUUAUGCUUACAACCAGAAGCUUCCCCGAAUUUGAAACACCAUGCCCCACAGAAAAUGAAGAAGGGCUGGAGGAGGCGGGAUUGCCUGCAACAACAAGCUCGCCAGGAGCGUUUGGAGUCAAGCAGGAGCAAGCUCAAUGAAAAAUAUAUAGAUGAAAUGGCUGUGACCAUGGCUGAAGAUGAAUGCCCUUCUAGUUUGCCUGAUAUGGAAAACAAGCUAGGCAUCAGAACAAUUGACGAAGAAACUUCAGUACAGGAUUCGUUGAAAGAAACGAGUUCUAUAUCUGAAGAUGUAUCUUCAAUAGUUGAUGAUGAUUUGGAUGGGCUUACAAAGGAUAGUGGCAUGAUGGUACAGGAUCACUAUGACGAGGAGAAACCUGAAUUCAAUAUGAGAGGUUACGAUGAUGACAAUUCUUGUAUCAGUGGGGAGCCUGCUUGUUUCAGUAGAGGCAGGAUCUGCAGCAUUGAAAAUGAACUAGAUGAUACUGCUUCAUCUGCCCAUGAUGUUGGUGAGAUUACUCGUGACAAUCCUUCAGCAACAUCCAAGUGUGCUUUAAAAUCUAAAAGGCACCCUGAUAUGGACAGCAAUCCUAAACCAAGCAAAUGCCCUCGACCAAUUGAUGAACGCUCAAAACUUUCAUAUAAAUACAGUGUGGAAUCAUUUUGCAGCAUAGAUGACCAUCUACCAGAUGGUUUUUAUGACGCAGGCCGAGAUAUGCCCUUCAUGUCAUUAGAUGAGUAUGAGAGGAGUCUUGGGCUGUAUGCACGGGAGGUUAUUCUCUUGGACAGGUUAGUGCCCAUUCCUAUCCAUAUGGGGCUGUCUACAUUCUUUUUCCAUGCUGUAUGUUUUAAUAUUCUUUUUGUUUUUCUUAGAGAACAAGAUGAAGAAUUGGAUACAAUUGCCUCUUCAGCACAAUUGCUGCUAUCUAGUUUGACAAGGCCAAGCUCUUUUGAAAUGGAGGAAGAUGCAGGCAAUGAUUUACUGAGGGCUUCAGUGCUCGCUUUGUUUGUUUCUGACUGCUUUGGUGGUUGUGACCGAAGUGCUUCUCUUGGGAGAACACGGAGAGCUAUUGUUAGCUUGAGGAAGGAGCAGCCUUUUGUUUGUACUUGUUCUGCUGGGAACUUAGGCGACAACAAUGAUGCUUCUAAGCAGACAAAUACUCUUUCUGGGCACUUUGAUUUUACUGGUCUGUGUAACAGAUCAAUACAUCUCAUCAAGGAAAGAAGAAAUUCGGGUAUUGUACCUAUAGGUGCACUGCAAUUUGGUGUUUGUAGGCACCGAGCUGUCCUAAUGAAGGUAGUAACCCUGUUUCCUGUGCCAGCUUCCAUUCUGUAUUUGUACUUUGACAUUCUGUAUUUGCACUUUGAAGUUUGAACACUGUAACCAUAUGCUUUGCAGUAUUUGUGCGACCGGGCAGACCCUCCAAUUCCUUGUGAGCUUGUGAGGGGCCAUCUUGACUAUACACCUCAUGCUUGGAACGUUGUUCCUGUUAGAAAAGGGAAUGGCUGGGUAAGGAUGAUUUUUGAUGCUUGUUACCCCACCAACAUAAAGGAAGAGACAGAUCCAGAGUACUUUUGCAGGUGAGCAGCUUGUGAUAUUAUAUUCCUAUAUUCUUUGUAAGUAGAAAUCGUUGUAACUUCCCUUGUGUUCCAUUCUUUUUGGCUGUUGUAUUUACAUGGAGAGCACCUGCAAUAAGAACUGCACCAUGCUUGCCCUAUCUCAUGGUCAAUAUUGCGUUAGCACUGUUUCGGCGUAUGCUAAUAUUGUGUCUGCCAUAAAGAAUGGCCUACAAAAUGCCACAUCACAGAUUUCUAAAACAGCUAAUUUCCAGUUUUUAGGUUCUGUUUAUAUCAUAUUCUGAAAAGAACAGCAUUGUAGAACAUUGUAUUGUAUUUGACUAUUUGCUACCUUUUGUAUGGUCCAUGAUGCUGCCAACAAGUUGUCAGUCCUAUCUUUACAAAUUUUCACCUGUGCAGGUUUUCGUUUUCCUGUACAAUUUUCAGUUAGAAAAUUUAUAAAAGCUAAGAAAAUAUCAUCACUUUGUGGCAGGCACUAAGCCCAUUUUUAUAUUUUCAAGAUUUGGUUGUUGCUGGUAGAUACUCUUUUAAUCCUUUAUUAUUUUGUUCACCUGAUGGUAGGGGAUCUUGUCUGCUGAUCUAGCACAUUAGUCUUGCUGUUUCAGGGAGGCGCUGACACAAGUAUUACAUGCUACAUACAAUUUCUUUCUGAAUCCAAGAUCAUCAUCUUAUGUUUGACUGAUCCAUUUAUCUCUGUGCUGUUUCAGGUAUGUACCGCUCAGUCGACUUCAAAUUGCACUCGAUGAUGAGGGCUAUACUCCUCGGUGUUCCUUCCCAUCAGUCUCAUCAUGCAAAGAAAUUGAAGUUACAGCUUCUAGUUCUGUCUAUCACUGUAAAAUUGGUGCUGUUGAUGCUGCUGCAAAGGUUUUUGUUCUUUCACCUGUUAUUCUUUGUGCCUUCUGUGUGGUAUUCUUUUGGGUGUAUGUACUUGACUUUGUUGCAAUUGCAGAUACGAUAUCUGGAUACUCGCAGUGCCUCAAAUGAUGAAGUUAAACUUUUUGAAUACAAGCUUCUGGGAGAAGUAAGAAUGCUGGGUGCGUUAAGGAAGCACAGAUCCAUAGUGAACAUAUAUGGACACCAACUUUCAUCUAAAUGGGUUCAAGUCGAAGGUGAUAAAGAAUAUAGGAUAUUGCAGUCUAUAAUUUUAAUGGAAUAUGUAAAUGGAGGUUCCCUUAAGGUAAAAAUCAUUUAUCAUGUUUAUGAAUUUCUCCUGUAUUGUUUCAACAUCAAUUCAGAUGUUCAUUUUUGGUACCGGACCUGUUAAUUUCUCAUCAGGGAUAUUUGACAAAGCUACUGAAGGAGGGCAAGAAGUGUGUCCCCAUUGAUCUGGCAGUUUACAUUGCUCGGGAAGUUGCUUGUGCAUUGUUGGAGAUGCACAAGAAGCUAGUUAUUCACAGGGACAUAAAAAGUGAGAAUGUUUUGGUUGAUCUGGAUUCCAAGAGGAAUGCUGGUACACCGAUUGUCAAACUCUCUGAUUUUGACAGAUCCGUUCCUUUGCAUUCUUUAUCCCAUACAUGCUGUAUAUCUCACCUUGGUACACACCCUCCCAAUGUUUGUGUUGGAACACCUUGUUGGAUGGCUCCAGAGAUUGUUAAGGCCAUGCAUGAAAAACACCACUAUGGACUGGUAAGAAUUUGUUAGAUAAUUAUGGUUUCGUUGUUUAUAUUGAUUAUAUUUGUACAGUUAUUGUGCAUGCUUGUUGGUGAGUUUGGUGGUUAUUUUGUUCUCAGCAACCUGCAUUGUGAAAUAUUAUAUGGUUUAUUGAGUUAUACACCAAUGUUUUGAAUGUGACUUCUAUUUGAAAUAUGUUCUGAUCUGGGAAUCAAUUACCUUGCAGUAUCAAAUUUAGUCCUGAUCUUGUGGAGACAUAUUCACACUUCAAACAUUACUCUGACCUUAAAUAAACAUUACUUUGACCACUAUAACUAGCAUGCAACCUGUGUGAAUGCAUGUCCGUUGGAUUCACAUUGCAAAUCCACUUUAAUUUUAGUAAAUUGAGAUCCAUUUGAACUGAAGAACUGUGUUAGUAUUAAUACUUAGCCCCCUGGGUAUGUACAGUGUACAAAACUAUUUGAUCAAACAUCUACAGAUCUACCCCGUCAACCAAAUCCCCAAGUUGGCUGAUUAGAUGUUUCUUGGAUGCAGGAAGUAGAUAUCUGGUCAUUUGGAUGUUUUUUAUUGGAGAUGCUUACGCUUGGCACGCCUUACCAGGGACUUCCUGACUCUGAAAUAUAUGAUAUGAUACUGGUAAGACCCCUUCAUAUCAGAAGCAAAUUGCUGUUUUUUAGUUGUUCUAGUGGUUACAUAUCAAUAUAUAACCAUCUUCCUAAUCCUGUCUCUUCAGAGGAAGAAACAGAGGCCAAGGCUAAGUCAGGAAUUAGAAGCAUUCUGGACAAUGGAUGAGCCAGCUACGAGGCUGAAGCUAGGGAUCACAUCUGAUGCUCAUGCAGAUAAGAUGAGACAUCUGGUAGAUCUCUUCUACCAGUGUACCAGAGGACAUGCAUCCAAGCGGCCCAAAGCUGAGCAAAUUUACAACUCACUGUGCUCCUUGCCCACAUGUUAUGACAUGAGGUGAACAUUUGGAUACUGUAUGAUGCGAAACUUGGUGGUGAAGUCGUGACCGACAUUGGGAAAGCACAGGGGAAGGUCAAGGCAGGUGGUAUCUGCAGGCAUGACAUCUGGCCAGUCUCAGGUUUGAUGCUCUAACCUGACCUUUUCAUUGCUCUCAGCGAGUUGGUCUUGAGGUGCAGCCUGGCAGAACACGAGAAGUGGGACCAAGGCUAGCGGCUUUGGUUGCCAGAGCUCCUCCCGAGUUAGCCAGAGCUCCUCCUGAGUUGGUCAGUUUUGUAGCGGCACGGCAUCUGGGUCCACUUGUAGUAGUUGUCAUCUGGUCAUGUGUGUAACCCCAUCCCCCCUUUUUCCCCUUUUCAUUGUUGCCAUCAUCACUUGAUGGGGGGUUUAAGUUAUCAAUUUAGGUCAUUGGUGCCCCAAGGCAUUUGUCUGCUAGACCGCUGCAUUGGCUUCUGUACGUGUAUUGUAUUAUUUAUUUUUAUUCUUUUAUUUAGAGAAAAAUUGAGUCAGUCGGCGACUGUCGUCCGUGUACUUGUAACAUUUGAUUGAUGACAUUUGAGUGUAUCUUAGCGAGGUUAUUUAUGCUGAUUUCACCAGCCUUUUUGUGCAUGAGAUGAGCUCCUCGGAAACCUGUAUCGUGUACCAUUCUCUCCAGUCAGAGACUGCCAAACAAUUUGACAGCCUGUGGUUCAUCGUCUUGUGUGCAGUAAUACGCGUGUCGUGAUAACAUUGCCACUGUUCGUCGUAUUUAAACCGUUGCCCUUGGCAUCUUCCAAAGGUAAACGCUUCCUUUGGAAGGUGCAUGUGCUGGGCUAUGCUGGAUCUCCUGCUGAUUCUUGUAGCAUGCUGCACGGAUCUGGUAGUAUUACUCUGGCCUAUCAACCUUGCUGCAUAUUUUUGUUUGGUUGGUUGAUUAUUUUUAAGCAACGCCACUCGGAUAUGUUUGACUAUCCCUGCAUGCGUCUCUGAACUGAAUGGACUAGCCUCUGCACUUGUACAGUAGCUCUACUUCCUCCAAAGAAACCGUUUUUAAAAGUCUGGGGGUUUUGGAUUCUCGAGACGGAAUUUGUUUGCGGGCGAGGACAGGGCGGGGGCGCGCAGUUAAUUCCCGCGGCGGCAGCGCAAGGCCACGUUCGCCUCUUCCGCGCGACGCGCCGCGCCGUGCAUGUGCUGCCCCCGCGUUUGACUCGGCGCCGAUUGGCAGUUCGCCGGCCUCGGAAUCGGAUCCCCUUUCGCGCCUCGCCGGGUCAGCGACAGGGCGCGGAUUUGUUUACGUACGGGCGCCACCUUGACCGGCAGCCGUCCCCAUGUGACCCCCAACCGGCCCGGUCUCUCAUCUCUGGCUCUCUGCCCGCCGAUCCGUCCGUCCGUCUAUAUAAGCUACGGCGGGGUGGCGGCCAUGUGGUGUGUUGAGCUGCCGCGCCAUGGGGGGCCAUAAGCGAGCUCUGUGCACGGCGGAUGGACCCGACCGGAGCCCGGAGGAAUGGUGUGAGUUGAGUGCCCAAGAGAAAGAGUGAAGCUGCCAGCAUGAUCUAACAACGGCAUUGCUCCUCCGUGUAGCGCCCUGUGCUUGCUUUUGCUUGUCUCCAUGGAGAAGACAGCGGCAAAGCUUAGCUUUGCUUCGCUUAGCUUGCUGGCUUUUCGUAUGGGCUGGCGGCGGGUUGCUGCGUGAAGCUUGCAAGUGAUGGUUAGAUCAUGCUGUGACAGUUUCACUCUUUCCCUUUGGGCACAUCGUCCAUCGGAAGUGCAGACACUCACAACCAACACGGCAAUCAGGUGCGCUGCCUCUCUCUCUCUCUCUCUCUCGCUCUCCCUCUGUCAAAUACUGCCAGUUGCCACUCUCUGCAAUCAGCAAGCUUGUGUACUUCUUUCAUCUACGAUUGUACUCUGCAACCAUGAAUGUUUCUUAACAGGGAAAAUGGCAAAGAUUAACCAAAGAUGCUUAGCGCUUGCAAUGAUGUUGCCACUCGUCUGAUCCCAUGAACCUACGUUAUUGCAAUGAUGUUUGUUGGCAUAUUGAUGGACUCUCGUAUGGUUUUUGGAGGGAUUUUUUUUUUCACAUAGGCAACAAAAAGGUUCUGCAUUCAAUUAUCCUUCACAGAGGAGUUGAGUACAACUCAACUGAUUUGGGAUGGGUGCAUCUCAACCACCCAGGUUUUUUUUUUUUUUUUUUUUUCAAUUUCAGCGGCGGCGGCUGCUGUUGAUUUGUUGUAAGAGAAGAACAAUGUUUCCUCGUUGAAAAGUAGUGCUGAUAAGUUCAAGUGAACAGUAGGUUAGAUCUUGUUUUUACUUUUUAUAAUUAUCAUUCAUGGUGUGACAGAGAGCUUCGUCACCUCCGCCAAGGGCAUGUUUGCUUUGACUCCAUGCAUCAUUGCCAAGCGCUACAGCUGCUCCGAGGCGUCCAAAAAUGUCCAAUUAUGAAUGCCUGGGGACAGGAUGCAUGCCUGGCUGCAAAUUUGGGAGGGCAAGCAAACAUGCCCCGACUGCUUUUGCUUCCCAAUCGCACACCUCAUGAAGUAUAGGAUCACAGAAACCAUAGGAUUAGAACUGAAUGUCACUUGUCCUAAAGAGAUUAACAAACUAGAUAAGCUUCUAAUAUAGGAGAAAGAACAAUACUGGAAUUAAAAGAGAGGUAGCCACAAAGGAGGUUGAAUCUCCCAGCCAAAAGAAUAUACGGAGUUAUGUAGGAUUUCACUAUUCGUUGUUCCAACUUCCAAAGGGCUGCACAUAUGAGUAUAUGACAGAUUCAUAUUAGAAUUCCGUUCUAAUCCUACAAAAUUCCUUCACGAAUCCGUCGUUCCAAAAGGAACCGAGCAAGCCUACAACCGCCAAACCACAUCGCGUGAUUUGUGUUUCUUGGACUACAGAGUGUCCACGACAAGUUUCAGCUUGCCGCUGCUUCACGAUGACUCCAGCUUAUUCUGCUUCAGAAACUCCAGGUCCUUGAGCUGCCGCUGCUGCACUUCCUUGGACACGGUCCUCCCGUCCCGCUUCCUCUCGCCGGAGGCCACCUGCUUGGCCAUGGACGCCACCAUCCUCUCCACCGCCGGCCUCCCGACGGAAGGGAAGACCGCGUUCAGGAUCGUCCGGAGCAGCUUCUCGUCCUCUUCCUCCACCAUGUCCUGCCCGAAGCAGCACACGUAGAUGGCUUCGAGCGCCUUCUCCGCCCGCGUUUCCAUCGGUAUCUGCGGUGCUGGAGCCUUCAGCUUCGCCCUUUUCUGCAUCAAUCAUCACACACAAUUCAUCUUCUCUGAUUCUAGCAUACGCCGUUGCAAUGCAGAUAGUAUAGAAUAAUAAUGUUAGAUCGUCACCAAGAUCAGAAAGCUCUUAACAUUACCUCCCUUGCCGCCCUCAUCAUGUCGAUGAACGUCUCCUCCUCGAACUCGAUAUCGUUGGAGAUGCGGAGACGCGCCACGCCUUCCAAGAUCUCCUCUGUUUUGAGCAGCCCGGCGCCAAUGGCGGCCAGCCAGCAGCAGAGCAGAACGUAGAAGGGAUCUCCUGGCUGCGGAACGACGCGACGAAAAUAUUUUAUCGUUCCAGUCAGAAGCUGUGCCUCAGCGGUGUACCAACCACUCAACCAGCAACUAUAGAAAGACAAUAACCAGAGCAGAGCAAAGGCGAAAGGUACCUUCCCGCGGCGCUGGUUGAAGUCGUAGAAGGCCUUGGAGUCCAUGACGGUGCACUUCUUGCUGACGCGGCGGCGGAACUCGGCGAAGUCGAUGAUGUCGCCGCCGACGCCGCCCUCGUCGCUGAGGAUGCGCGCGACGAGGCCCACGAUGGGGAGGGCGCCGAUGAGCCGCCCCGCGAUGGCCCCCGGCGAGUUGGGGUUCGGCUCCAUGUACGCCACCACGGCUCCGUACCGCCGGCGCCGGCCGUGAGCCGCGGGCCGGCGGUGGCACGGGAGCAACGGGGCCGUCAGAGCGAGCUUGUGGGCGACGGGUAGCGCCCUCAUGCCCGCGCGCCGAUGGGGUUUACGUGGGGGUGCUGGGACGCCUUGCGUACUCGCGGUGGCCGCGCCGUGGCGUGGCUUAUCUGCUCAUGGACGUCGAGCCUGUUUAGAGCUUGGAUUCUGGACUCUGAAACUCUGAAAGGAGGGCGGCGGCUGUGGCAACCGCGUCAGCCCUGCCGGCGUUCGUGCCUCACCGAGUGGCACUUUCCGGUGCCCGCGCCUCGAAUCGACGGGGUUGCGGUCUUGCCGACUGCCGAGCACCUCGCACCCUUGCCUCGCCGUCCGGCACCCUUGCGCGGACUGGGGAGUGACGAUGAAUGGGGAUAGGUGGGUCGAUAGGAUAGGACAGGGGUUGCUGAGACGGGAUUGAGUUGAUGAUAAACGCAGGCUAACUGGACUUGGGCUGCAUUCUUGUUGAUGGGCUACAACACAAGUGGUUUGUGUUAGUCCUCUCCUCGAUUUUGGGGCGCAUUUCAGCUCAGCCGCUAAAAAUUGCUGAUUCGAUUUUAAAUCCAUUAUACCUCCUAAACUCGUCGAAGUCUAGUUUUUCUUUCUAAACUCCAAAACCAAAUCAACUGACCGUUUGUUUUACCUCUCUGUCCCGGUUAUAGGUGGUUUUCAAUGGCAGUUUUUCUUUUUUUUAUUUGUUUUGGUGAAAUCUUUAAAAAAAUCAUAGUAAAUUCUAGAAAACACCAUAAAAUAGAUAAUCUAAUUUUAUUAGACUCCACAUGGGUAUAUAUACACAGUAAUCAUAUAAUAUGGUAUGCUUUAGUAUAAAGUUUUAUUGUAGUUCUAGAUAUAUGCUUUUUUGUAAUUAAUUCAUAGUUGUAGUUUCUAUGGUCUAAUUGUGAUGAAAAGUUUAUGACGGUAUUAUUAUAUGAUUAAGUAGUAGUAAAAAAAUGUAUACUCAUUUCUAUUUUUACACACUUUUAACUAUUUAAAAAUAUUUAACAAGCAUAAAAUUUAAUAAAUCUAUAACUUAGUUAUAUAUAAUCCAAUGAGCAUGAAAUUUUUACUACAGUUCAAUCAUAAAAUAAUUAGCCAACAAUAAAAAAAAUUCACCACAAUUGGACCAUAGAAAUUGUAUCUAUGAAUUAAAUAUAGAAAAGUAUAAAUCCAAAGGUACAACAAAAAAAAUCUCUAUUAAAGCAUAAGAUAUUAUGUGUUCAUUUGUAGAUCUAUUCAUUGAGUCCAACAAUUUUUUUUAAUUUUUUAUAUAAUUUAUUAUGAUUUUUUUAAAAAAUUGCUCGAAGUAAAUAAAAAAGAAAAAACAAAGACACCUUUGAAAACCACCUAUAAGCGGGCCAGGGAGGCAAAAUGAACGUUGAACAGUUUUCUUAGUUGAGGGAGAUAGUUUAUCUGGUUUUAGGCUUAUGAAAGAAAAGGUAGAUUUGAGGAUAAUUGAAGAAGGUAAAACGAACCCAUGUUACUUUGCUGGUCUGAAAAAUCAUAGUUAAAAAUAUUAUUCACUAAUUUAUUGUGAGAGAAAAAAAACUAUUAGCUGAUAAAAAAAAAUAUAGCUCAAAAGACAAUCGAACUGGCUGAGCCAAGUGAGCGGCGAAGGCCGAGCGCCCCAGCCAUCCAAUCCAAAUAUCCUAUUCCAAUUUCCGAAGAUGAGAGCUGUGCACCCGCGGCGGCUUUCCCUUACGAUACGGCCUCCCUCUCCUCGUCGUUCGAAUGAUUCUCUUCGCGUUGGGUCUUGUUUAGUUCACAAGACCAAAACUAAAAAUUGCUCGUCCUCAGCUUCCCUUGUUCGUCUCAUCCGGUCAUCCCCCCGCCCCGCCCCGCGACCGCUCGCGCGUGGUUCGCGUGCAUGCGUGCCCGCGGCGGCCUGCUUUGUCUCGUUUUCUCGCGCGGUGGCCAGUCCACGUCCACGCGACCCGUCAUCCUCGCCACUGAUUACAAUCAUGCAUAUCGGCGAUUGAUUGCCAUACAUACAUAUACGUAUGCGCGGGCCUAAACGCAUUUUGCGUGCGUGCGAGUGCGAGUGCCACGUCACGCGGCCACUUCAUCAGUGUUAAUUAAGGUGGUGGUGGACUUGUGAUGGAGUAUAACGACCGGCAAAACGCCUUAGCUCGAUGUUCUGAAUUCAAAUCCUUCUUCUGGUUACUAUUCGAUCCACAAAUUUUAAGAAUAAAUUUAUUAAAAAAUAUAUUUAGCAGUCGAUACUAAUCAUAUAUUAUAAAUAUUUAUAUUUUUUAUAUAGAAUUGGUCCUUUUUUUUAAAAAAAAAAAGUUAAUUUCUCAGAAAACGAGAGUAACUUAUAUUUCAUCGUUAGACGUCAGGAUACAGUUUCUGACUCAUAGUCUCGUACUGCCACGCCUCUGCCCUCUAUCAACCAAUUGCAAGGUUCCUUAUUAAAACAAGAAUUGCAAGGUGAUAUUAUAUCGAAAUUUUGCUUAAAAAUUAUAAACAAUUGACCCGUCAACGAAGCAUAUCUAAGGCUUAGGCAUAUCAUUGUCUGAGCGACUCCAGUGCAACAGGAGAUCGUUUAAGAGAGUGUUUGUGUGUGUCGACGUCUAGACUCGUCGUCUAGACGGUAACGAGUAAUAAGUCUGCGUGUCCUCCUAAACCCGAAUGGUGAUACAAGGGGAACACAGGGAGUUAUACUGGUUUGGGCUAAGAGUGCUCUACGUCCAGUGUGAGAGUCGGAGUCUGUAUUGCCUUGCACCCGAGAGUGCUUGUAGUAGGAGCGUACAAGCUGGUUGCGAGAGAGGGCUAAGUCUCAAGUCUCGGCUUUCGAGGAGUGGACGGAGUAGUGCUCGUUACUCUAGAGUGAGCACUAUCUGGAGUUUGAGUGUAUGUCGUAGUCUGGUCUGGUGUUCUCGUGGUCCUUCUUUGAAGUGUGCCAUGCCUCCCCUUUUAUAGCCGGACACAAGGCUUUUACAUGUGUUGACUGGUAAUCUACCCCUAGUAAAUGGUGAAAUAACAGUGCCGACCCUGUGAGAGCUUGCCCAUCUCGUCCUUGGGGUAUGGCUGACGGUGUGGCUGCUCCUGUGGAGGAUUGCCGAGCCCUGUUGAGGUCGUGGUGGUCGGGUCGGUGACACUGUCGCACGUCCUGCAAUAGUAGGGAAAAGACAGCCACAGUGACAAGGGUUAACUCCUUCCAUAUCCUCUUUUACUGUGAGGUGGUACUUCACAGUGAAAGAGGUAAGGCUACACCGUGGUUGGAGUGGUUGGAAUAGUUGUCGCCGUGCCCUGCUGCGGCAUAGGGAUUAUGGCGAGUGUCACAUCGGAGGUACGGCCGUCGUGAGUUGGAAGCCCGACUCUGAGAUGGAGGCUCGGGCGAGGCGGUGUUUGCGCCCGAGCCCAAGAGGGGUCGGGCGAGACGGAGCUUGCGCCCGAGGCCAAGGGGUCGGACGAGCUUGCGCUCGAGACCAAGGGGUCGGGCGAGACGGAGCUUGUGCUCGAGCCCCAAGACGUUUUGAGCGUUUGCUUUAUUCCUUUUUGUGAUUUUUAUUCACUUGAUUUGGUUAUCUCGUUUUAUGGUACCUAACAGUGUGGAGUUGUUAAAGUUUAAUAAAUAUUUUUUUUUGAAUAAAAGGUUUCCCCUACUUUAUUACCAUAAAGCGAUUCACAUCAGGCAAAGGUCCUAGUCUAUACACACACAGCACAACUGCAGCCACAAGGCUAAAACUGAGCAGCGAACAAAACACAAAGCCCAGACAAACUACGCCCUAUUACAUGGUAUAAUGAUCGCACUUGCCGAAUCCUCUAAAACUUGAGCAUUUGAUUGUACCGACACUAAUGAAUCCAUCCACUUGAUCAUUGGUGCUAAGCCAGCUUCUACCUCCACUAACUGAAUUACCCUCUCCAACUUCUCCUGGACUUACAUCUUGAGCAUUGGCAACCAUACUCUUAGGCCUUGCUAAAAUUCCACGUCACAUCGAAUCUUUAUACGCAUAUAUAAAGUAUUAAAUAUAGACGAAAAUAAAAACUAAUUGCACAAUUUGGUCGAAAUUGACGAGACAAAUCUUUUGAGCCUAGUUAGUCUAUAAUUAGACAAUAAUUAACACAAACAAACGAAAAGUGCUACAGUGUCGCGAAAUUUUUUCCUUCCGGAACUAAACAAGGCCUUAGCAUCCUCCCAAUCAUUGCAAAAACUUUCCCCAUUCCACUCCACGGCAUCCUCUGAAAACAUAACAAAUUACGUAAUUUUCACAAAACCCAGAGAACAGCAGAAGACACAAUAUUACAAAUCAUACAUCUCUGGUUAGCAAUCCACAAGGAGGCUACGGAUUCAAAACCAUCCUCUAACCUCCUAUCCAACCAGAACGUAAAAGUAGCCCAAACAUGUUUAGCCACACAACAAUGGAAGAACAAAUGAGAAAUUGACUAUCGAUCAUUACAAAACAUAAAGUUUAAUAAAUAUUAUAGCAUUUUUGUUUUAUUUGACAAUUAAUGUUCAAUUAUAAAUUAAUUAGAUUUAAAAAUUUCGUCUCGUAAAUUACUCUCUAGCUAUGUUUUUAAUUUCAUAAAUUAUAUAUAUUUAUUAUUUUAUAUAUGUGUCUAAAUAUUCGAUGUGACGGACGCAAUCAAACGGCGCUGCAGGUCUGCACCCCGUGACGUGGUCGAGAGAGGAACUGGUUCCGAGUCCAUGUACCGUACCGGCUCCAACGUCUUCUCAAGGUAUCAGCAGGUAUCUGCUGCAACCUGCAAACGAUGGGCCUGAGCUCCAGGACAAGCGGUUGUUACAGAGAAUCUGCUUUAUUGAGGUCUUGUUUAGUUGUAGAAUUUUUUUAAAUUUUAAUAUUAUAAUAUUUUUGUUUUUAUUUGAUAAAUAUUGUCUUAUUAUAGAGUAAUUAGGUUUAAAAGAUUUAUCUCGUGAUUUACAGACAAACUGUGUAAUUAGUUUUUGUUUUUAUCUAUAUUUAAUACUUCAUGUAUGUACCAUAAGAUUCGAUGUGACAGAAAUUUUUAAAAAAAAAUUAAAAUUUUGGUGGGAACUAAACUAGGCCUGAACCUCCCUUGUAGCCGCGGAUGCUCUGGCUCCAAAGAAGAGGCUCCACCUUCGGUUUUUUUUUUCCUAAAAAAACGUCUCUUCUUCGUUAGAGCACACUGCACACGAGAGCUAAAGGAUAAGUUAAAGCACAUGAGAGUUUAGUAAUCUAGAGCUAAGCAUAUCAACUAAUCUAAACUAAUCUACAAAUGUAAAAAUGUCAUACAAAACAUACACAAAGUGGAAGUAAUAAAUAUGAUAAGUAUUUAGACACAAUGUAUAUUCAAGUACAUAGAAAAAAAUUAUGUAUCUAUUUAGAAAAAAAAAACAAAAUGUCUUAUAAUCUGUAGUGGAGUGACUAUAUGAUUGCACAUAUAUCUCUUAUAUGGUCCAAAGAUGUACUCCCUCUGUCACAGCGGCGGAGCCAAGACUCAGUCACCUUGGGCUGAAUCCAGAGCUUUGCUGGCUCCCUAGUAGCCCUAAAUGCUCGAAAGGCUUAGUGACACCUAGCUAUGUACACAAAUGAGGCAGCGAGGGAGCUUCUCCGAUCCUAUAACUUACUCCAUCCGUCCCAUUAAAAGUGAUGUUUUGGACUCCGUACUAUCUUGUUGAUCAUUCGUCUUAUUCAAAAUUUUUGUAUAAGGACAGUCUCAAUGGACAAUGUCACUGCACGGUUUCACAUACCAACACGUCAUCGAGAUUGAAAUGAAACCAUCUUUGAAAUAACCCUAACAAUCGAGCAUUUCACUUUGUUAUUUCCAAGGCUAAGCAAAAUAUUUAAUUGCUGCAAAAUGAUUGGAUCAUAUGCAAGAUGGUGAAACGAAUUCACCCUCAGUGGGGAUUUCAUCCCGUGGGAAACAACGCCCGUGGAGUUAUGGUGAAACUACUUCCUUCUUUCAUGCAAAAAGUGCAGUUUUGCUGACAUGAUGGUCUAAUAAAUGUGCAUGACAUCCUGGUGAAACCCUCACUGAGACUGGCCUAAAUAUUAGUUGUUUUCUUAUAACUUAUUUUAUUAUUAGAGAUACUUUAAUAAUAAUUUAUUUAUUUUAUAUUUUAUAAAAAAAAGACGAAUGAUAAAAAACGAUAUCCAAAAGUAAAAAAUGACACUUUUAAUGGAACUGGGGAGUAGUGAUUAUUUUAGUUUAGGAUUAAAACUAUUGUGGUUGUCUAAGUUUCUUUGUAUGCUAUAUAUAAUUAGUAUGGUGUUCUAAUUUAUUUAUUAUAUAUUUGUCUAGCCUUGCUAUUAUUAGUAUGGUGUUAUGUGUGGCAAAGGCUCCACAAAAAAUCCAGGCUCCAAAACUACUCUAUUGUAAAUACUCCCUCGUUUCCUUGUUGAAAGGUCCUUGUUUGGUUUUGGUAAUUGAGUGACAACUUAGGUGGACUAAUAGUGUUUAUGUGAGAUACACAGGAGAUUAGUCCACAGGUGAUGAUGUGAUGAUGAAGGAACUCAUUGCACAUGAGACAUGACAUGGAGUCAUGUGACCAAGGUGGAGAAGAUCAAGAUGAGGCUUGGCUCAAUGGACCGGUUGCAAGAGUGAAGGGCAAGUCGGAGGCUUUCAAGCGAGGGACCGCGUGUGACGGUGAAGCUUGAGCAAGACUUGGCGCCGAUGGACCGAGGCAACGGUGAAGAGCAAGUGAGGUCAAGAUCAAUGAACCAAUACAGUCAUGUGAUGAUAUGAAGUGGAUCAUAUCAUUUGGUGAUUGGUUGGUGCAUGUGUUGCAUCAACAUUGGAGGAGAUGGAAUAGAAAGCGCAAGGCAAAGGUAUAACCUAGGGCUUUUUCAUUUCACCGGUCAUAGGUGUGUAGAGAAGUUUAUGACCAGAUUUAGGAUAGAUGGCCGUACUAUCAAGAGGGGCAAACUUGUUUGCAUAUCGGUCAUCUAGUGCCACUUGAGCGAUCUAACUUUGCAUACAUGUUAGGAUCGAGUGGCGUGGCAAGUUUGAGAGGCUAACUCCUUUGGGAAAAUGUUUGUGAAAAUGCUAACACACUUGCACAUGGUGGCGUACACUUGUUGGUGUUGGCACACUUUACAAAGGAGGUGGAGUUCCUAGGGUUGAGAGGGGUGUGGGUUUUGAGAAAAAUUAAGUGCAUAUUUUCUAUUGCGCCGGUGGGAAAUUUAGAGAAGUCGCGGAAACACUCACCGAACGCUCUGCGCAGAGGCACCGGACGCUGGCCUUUAGCGUCCGGUGUGCUGUCGGGUGUAGCAGAGUGCACCGAACGCACCGGGGUGAGUCCGGUGCUCAGCGUCCGGUGUGCGGGUGGUUUGGCGACCCUCUCUGCGCAUGAGUCCGGUGAGCACCGGACGCUCAGGGUGUGUCCGGUGGCUAGCGUCCGGUGACCGUGCAAGUUUGCGGAGCUCUCUGCGCACGAGUCCGGUGUGCACCGGACGCGUCCGGUGUGACGCAGUAGAGCGUCCGGUGGUGCUGUGCAGGCAUGCGUACGUAGUAGCCAUUGGCGGCAACGGUCAAGUUCAAACGGCUAGUGACACGUGGCGGUCAGCUGAGCACCGGACGCUGGAGGUUGAGCGUCCGGUGGCUCCCUGUGAGCGUCCGGUGCCCACGUAUUUUGUCCAGUAAAGGGGCAACGGCUAGUUUAGCCCUUGGGGCUAUAAUUAGAAGUGGUGGCCGGUCUUGGCCGGCGUUGAGUACCCUUGGGACUUAGUGUCCAUGCUUGGGGAGUGCUAGGAAAGCCUCUAACUCACUUGUGCUUGCAAGAGUGUGAAUCUAUAGCGAGUGAGUGAUUCUAGUGCGUUGCAUUGAGAGAUUGCAUCGAGUGGCACUAGGUGUUCGUGUUGCAAGCCGGUGGUGCUUGUUACACUUGGAGGUUUCCACCUCCUAGACGGCUUGGUGGCUUGUGACUCCGUCGAAGCACGCAAGGAGAUUGUGCGGUGCUCCAGAGAAGAGAUUGUGAGGGGUACGGUGCUCACCCCGCGGGGAUCGCGAAGAGCAACUCUAGUUGAGCGAGACGUGAAGAGCGACGAGUGGUCCGGUCGAGUCAAGUGCUAGAGCUUGUGGUAAGCACUCCACAUGGGAGAGUGUGACUUGCGGGUCACCACUAGUAAGAGGACCGGCGGCAACCUUGGAGCUUGUCUCAACGGGGACGUAGCUUAGUGGGAACCAAGUGAACCUCGGGAGAAAAUCAUCGUGUCAACAUUUGUUCUUUCCGUUGGUUUGCAAGUCCCUAACACAAGUUUGUUCUUACAUUCAUAUACUUGUGCUUGUGCAGUUGCUUUUGUAAUUAGUUAGCUUGUGUAGCUUUCUAGUUACCUUCUUGCUUGUGUAGCUAGAAGUAGUUCCCUUGCGUGACUAAUUUGGUUUGUGUAACCUUGUUAGUCACAUUGCUUAGUUUGUGUAGCUAAGUAAGUUGCGCUCUCUAAUUUAGCAUUGGUUGCCUUGUUAUUGAGCAUUGCUAGUGAGCUUAGGAGCUUUGUGCUUUUGCUUACUAGUUGUGUAGGAGCUCCUCGGUUUGCAAAGUACUAGUGGCAUAGGUUUGUGUGACCUUGCUUCUAGAAUUGGUUAGGUGAGCUCUUGCUAAGUGAAAGGUCCUUGUUUGGUUUUGGUAAUUGAGUGACAACUUAGGUGGACUAAUAGUGUUUAUGUGAGAUACACAGGAGAUUAGUCCACGGGUGAUGAUGUGAUGAUGGAGGAGCUCAUUGCAUAUGAGACAUGACAUGGAGUCAUGUGACCAAGGUGGAGAAGAUCAAGAUGAGGCUUGGCUUGAUGGACCGGUUGCAAGAGUGAAGGGCAAGUCGGAGGCUUUGAAGCGAGGGACCGCGUGUGACGGUGAAGCUUGAGCAAGACUUGGUGCCGAUGGACCGAGGCAACGGUGAAGAGCAAGUGAGGUCAAGAUCGAUGAACCAAUACGGUCACGUGAUGAUAUGAAAUGGAUCAUAUCAUUUGGUGAUUGGUUGGUGCAUGUGUUGCAUCAACAUUGGAGGAGAUGGAAUGGAAAGCGCAAGGUAAAGGUAUAACCUAGGGCAUUUCUAUUUCACCGGUCAUAGGUGUGUAGAGAAGUUUAUGACCGGAUUUAGGAUAGAUGGCCGUACUAUCAAGAGGGGCAAACUUGUUUGCAUAUCGGUCAUCUAGUGCCACUUGAGCGAUUUAACUUUGCAUACGUGUUAGGAUCGAGUGGCGUGGCAAGUUUGAGAAACUAACUCCUUUGAGAAAAUGUUUGUGAAAAUGCUAACACACUUGCACAUGGUGGUGUACACUUAGUGGUGUUAGCACAUUUACAAAGGAGGUGGAGUUCCUAGGGUUGAGAGGGGUUUGGGUUUCUCUCUCCCUCCCGCCGAGCUUGCUCGGCGGGAUUCGGCGCUUUUGAGAAAAUUAAGUGCAUAUUUUCUAUUGCGCCGGUGGGAAUUUUGGAGAAGUCACGGGCUGAGAAACACUCACCGGACGCUGGUGUUGGCAGCACCGGACGCUAGUCCAGAGCGUCCGGUGUGGUGUCUUUGACUCAGUGAGCAGAGCGCACCGGACGCUGGCACCGGACGCUGGGCGGUUACUGUUCGAGCGUCCGGCGGUGCGUGACGUCACCAAGAGCGCGCGAGGAGUUUCUGACCGGUGAGCACCGGACGCUUAGGGUGCGUCCGGUGGCUUGCAUCCGGUGACCGUGCGAGUUUGCAGAGCUCUCUGCGCACGAGUCCGGUGAGCACCACACGCGUCCGGUGUGACGCAGUAGAGCGUCCGGUGGUGCUGUGCAGGCGCGCGUGCGAUGUAGCCGUUGGCGGCAACGGUCGACUUCAAACGGCUAGUGACGCGUGGCAGUCAGCUGAGCACCGGAUGGUGGGGGUUGAGCGUCCGGUGGCUUCUUGGGAUCGUCCGGUGCCCACGUGUUUUGCCCAGUGAAGGGGCAACGGCUAGUUUAGCCCUUGGGGCUAUAAAUAGAAGUGGUGGCCUGCCUUGGCUGGUGCUGAGCACUCUUGGGACUGAGUGUCCAUGCUUGGGGAGUGCUAGUGAAGCCUCUAACUCACAUAUGCUUGAUAGUGAUCAUCCGAUUGUGUGAGUGAGCGAUUCUAGUGCGUUGCAUUGAGAGAUUGCAUCGAGUGGCACUAGGUGUUCGUGUUGCAAGCCGGUGGUGCUUGUUACUCUUGGAGGUUGCCACCUCCUAGACGGCUUGGUGGCUUGUGACUCCGUCGAAGCACGCAAGGAGAUUGUGCGGUGCUCCGGAGAAGAGAUUGUGAGGGAUACGGUGCUCACCCCGCGGGGAUCGCGAAGAGCAACUCUAGUGGAUUGCUUGUGGCUUGGAGGAUCCCCAUCUUGAGAGUGGAUGUGCGGCACCCGCUGAGGGUUUGGCUUUGGAAUGGCAAUUAGCUCGUGAUCCAUCAAGUGGGUGUAUCGCCACAACGAGGACGUAGCUUGGUGGCAACCAAGUGAACCUCGGUAAAAAUCACCGUGUCAACGUUGUCUACUCUUCUCGUGGUUUGCAUUCGCUAUACACGAGCUUGUAUUUACUUUCUUUAUAUACUUAUGCUUGUGUAGUUGCUUUUGUAAUUAGUUAAGCUUGUGUAGCUUGCUAGUUACCUUCUUGCUUGUGUAGCUAGAAGUAGUUCCCUUGCGUGACUAAUUUGGUUUGUGUAACCUUGUUAGUCACAUUGCUUAGUUUGUGUAGCUAAGUAAGUUGCGCUCUCUAAUUUGGCAUUAGUUGCCUUGUUAUUGAGCUUGCUAGUGAGCUUAGGCUUUGUGCGCUUUGCCUCACUAGUUUGAGUAGGAGCUCCCCCAGUUUGCAAAGUACUAGUUGCAUAGGUUUGUGUGACCUUGCUCCUAGAAUUGUGGUUAGGUGAGCUCUUGCUAAGGUAGCACCUUGUUUGCUUGUUUAGGAUCUUUUCAAGGUGCUAGAGAACUUAGAUAGAGGGGUGUAGUCUUGGCUAGACCGAUAGUUUUAAUUCCGCAUUUGUUUCGGUUAGCCGGCGUGUUAAAGUUUUAGAAAGGACUAUUCACCCCCCCUCUAGUCCGUCAUCUCGACCCUUCACUAAGGUAGCACCUUGUUUGCUUGUUUAGGAUCUUUUACAAAGUGCUAGAGAACUUAGAUAGAGGGGUGUAGUCUUAGCUAGACCGAUAGUUUUAAUUCCGCAUUUGUUUCGGUUAGCCGGCGUAAUAAAUUUUAGAAAUGACUAUUCACCCCCCCUCUAGUCCGCCAUCUCGACCCUUCACUUGUGAGCCACUGAAAAAAUUCAACAGACUUCAGCGCCACUAAUUCAAUUUUUUUGCCCUCCAGACCACCGCCAUUAGAUUAGGCUCUAAUAGUGUCAAACCGUGGUUGUGAAAAGUCAAAAGUAUCUUUAGGUGUAAAUAUGUUAUUAAUUUUUUUUAGCAUCUUAAUGACUUUAAAUGGAAAAACUUAAAAUUAAAAA